rnacentral:lncRNA from 1 species
UUUUUUUUUUUUUUUUUUGUCAAAGGUUGGAUUAAAAUUAAAUACGAAUCGAAAUGUUUACAUCAGAAGCCAGAGUAUUAAACAACCACUCUGGUUCCAACCCAUCCCAGGAAUGACUACCCCCCAUACGCAUGGCAUAAGAUGCCACCAUAUGUGCAGCCUUAUUACAGGCAUGAGGAGUAUAUAAAAAUUCAAUAGCUACAAAUUGUUGCUUCAAAAUACUUAUAUCCCACAAGAUACCAUCCAAGAUCACCUCUGGUUGUAUACGGCCAUAAAUCAUAUCAACAAGAACCUGAGAGUCAGUCUCCAAUUGUAUAGAUGUAAAGCCUUUCGCCACACAAGCCACCAAAGCUACUCGCAAAGCUUCCGCUUCCGCCAUGAUACUCGAAACACACUGCAUAUUUCCAGUACCACCAGCACCAUUAAAAAUGCCCACAAAAUCUCUUGCCACCCACCCAACACCACCUAUACUCGUCCGACUACACCAAGCACCAUCACAAUUAACUUUCAGCGUUCCAAAGGGUGGCUUAAUCCACUGAUGCGGGGUUGGAGCUCUCACUAACUGCCCACGGGACAAAGGCUGCACCUGGGCCUCAUCACUUAUCACCCACUCCUCCCAUUGUUGUUUAAGCAAAUGUAUAGCAGUAAGGGGGUCUACGGCAACCUUCUCAAAAACCAAACUAUUACGGCACUUCCAUAACCUCCAUAAUCCACCAACCACCCAUUGUAACAAAUCACUAGCCUCUCCCUCCUUACUAUAUUUAGCAUAUAACCACUUCCAACACUCCAAAAAAUCCCCCCUACCACCUUAGUUACAUCUAAUUGCAGCGGAGAACCAAACCAGAAAGCACGGGCAAAUGGACAUUGAAAGAAAAUAUGUACCUGCGUUUCCACCUCAUUGUCACAAAAAGGACAAUUAAUGUCCAAACGAACCCCUCGCCUCUGUAAAUUCAUACAUGCUGCCAAGAUAUUCUUACACCCUUUCCAUAUAAAAUGACAUAAUUUAGGUGGAACCUUCAAACUCCAAAUAUCCCGCCAAACCAUAUCCCGAUUAUCAUCCACACUAGAUUGACCCACACCUUUCCGUCCGAGCUCUCCAUUUUUAUUCAUUUCUUGCGCCACUAUAUACCCAGACUUCACCGAAUAUACUCCAUUUCGAGUAUAAUGCCAUACCACACGAUCCGGGCAUCCAAACCGACUAAUAGGCAUACUUAAAAUUGUCUUAGCUUCAUCUUCACUGAAACAUAAUUCAAUCACCUCCCUCUUCCACAUACCCUCCAUAUCCACCAAAUCAGCAACAAAAAUAGGCAUCUCCUCAUGAUGUGAAGUAGGUCGAAAAGUUCUUGGUAUAGGCAACCACGGGUCCUUACCAAUUUGGAUACAUGUUUCGUCCCCCACACGCCAUCUUACACCCGCUUUUAAGAUUUUCCUUCCUUGUAAAAUCCCUUUCCAACCCCAAGAUGUACCUCUCCCUACUGGGGCAUCCAAAAAUGAAGAAGAAGGAUAGUAUUUAGCUUGAAGUACACGAGCCAAAAGUGAACCAGAAUUAGAGAUAAGCCGCCACCCCACCUUGGCAAGCAUAGCUAAAUUAAAAUCGAUAAUCUCCCGAAAUCCAAGACCACCAUACACCUUCUUUUGAGCAACUUUGUUCCAAGUCAUCCAAUGAAUACCUUUUUUUGUCCUUUGAUCCCUCCACCAAAAUCUUGCAAUAACUUGUUCAAUUUCCUUUGCCAGGUGGAUAGGCAAUUGAAAACAAGACAUAGUAUAUAUAGGCAGAGCAGCCGCAACACUUUUUAUCAAAACCUCUUUACCAGCCAUAGACAAAAACUGUUCCGCCCACCCAUUUAUUCGCUCAUCCAAUCUAUUCCGCACUUCCUCGAACACUUUCUUCUUCGAUGCUCCAAAAUCUGCUUGAAUCCCCAAAUACUUUCCAAACCCUUCUUGGUGUUUAAUCCCCAAAAUUUGUGAUAAUUGCUCUUUCAAAGCCUUCGAACAACCCAUGCUAAAAUGAACUGAGCUUUUAUCCAAAUUAAUGAAUUGGCCUGACCCCACCGCAUACUGUUGUAGCAAACCCUUGAUCGUGUGAGCCUCGCCCUCCGUAGCACGACAGAAAAGAACUAAAUCAUCCGCAAAAAAAACAUGUGAUAAAGGAUCGGCCUCCUCAGUUACCGACAUACCCCGUAGUCGCCCCAUCUCCUCGGUAUUAUGUAGUAAAGAAGUGAACCCUUCGGCACAAAUCAGGAAUAGAAAAGGUGAAAGCGGAUCCCCUUGUUGAAUCCCCCUUCGAGGCUUAAUAUAACCCGUGGUCUCACCAUUUACAACCACACUAUAAGAGACCGUUUUCACACAUGCCAUCACCCACUGACAAAACAUAUCAUCAAAACCCAAUUGUAAUAACAUUGCAUUCAGAAAAGCCCAUUCAACCCGAUCAUAAGCUUUCGCCAUGUCCAAUUUCAUUGCCAUAUAGUCAACCCCGUCCUCCUUCCCAUGUUGCAUAGAAUGGAGAAGUUGAUGCACCACCAGAAUAUUAUCAGAAAUUUGUCUACCCGCCACAAACGCUGAUUGAUUUGGGCUAAUCACUUUGGGGAGAACUCUCUUCAAUCUAUUUGUUAGAACUUUAGAAAUAAUUUUAUAAACCACAUUACAAAGCGAAAUCGGACGAAAAUGGCCCAUGUUCCUGGGGUUCUCAACUUUUGGGAUUAACACAAUAUUAGUAUGAUUUACUCCUUCUAACAUUCUACCCGAGACAAAAAAGGAUUUGACCAUACCUAGAACCACAGCUCCAACCGUUUCCCAAUGAUGGUGGUAGAAACCCGCAUUGAACCCAUCAGGUCCAGGUGAUUUAGUUGGAUGCAUUUGAUAAAUAGCAGCUUCAAUCUCCCCAUCCGUGACUGGGGCAACCAACAUAGCAUUAUCCACCUCACCCACCCUAGUCGGCACACACUGCAAAACUUCCCCAAAUUGUAAAGGGCGAUCCAUAGUAAAUAGGGAAGUAAAAUAAUCAACUGCAAUGCUAUUUAUUUGGGUCGCAUCUGUACACCAUGUCCCAUCUCCAGCUUCCAGGCCAUGAAGCAUUGUUCCGUCUGCGACGUUUCAAAGUUUGAGCAUGAAAAAAUCGCGUAUUUUUAUCACCUUCUUUCAGCCAUUGUACUCGAGAUUUCGUACGCCAAAAUAUUUCCUCCCUGUGCAAAGCCACUGUAAGCUCUUCUUCCAACCUUCUAAUCCGAUUACCAUUAUAUACUGGUUGUUGAUAUGCCUCACGGAGAGCUUUUUUCAACCGACAAAUUUCCUUUUGUUCAUUCCGUCCCUCAUUUUUCUGCCAUGUUAUUAACCCAUGCUUGACCAUACGAAGAUUUUGCAUGAUAUGAUAUGCAUGCGGUCUGCCAUGUAGACCACCCCAACAUGCACGCACAACCUCAUCACAUUUUGGGUCCUAACUCCAACGCGGAUCGUACAUGAACCGUUUCUUUCGCCUAGGUUGAUCCACCUCCGUUGAUAACACUAACAUAGCAUGAUCCGAUCCCUUCAACACCACGUGUUUCACAACUGCCUGUUGGUAAUUAUGAACCCACUCAUGUGUAGCCAAGACCGGAUCCAGCCUUUCCUGAAUGAACCUUUCUUCCCGUCUGUUUCUCCACAUAUAUGGAUAUCCUUCAAAUCCCAAAUCCAAUAAACUUGCAUGAACCACAAAGUUACGAAACACUCGCAUACUUGCCACAGAUCGAGCAAUCCCCCCAUCCUUCUCAGAGGCCAAAAGGAGAUCAUUAAAAUCCCCCAUUAUCAAAUAAGGCUCCUCAAACCCACGUAUUCGUGACAAUAACACCUCAAACUGUUGAGCUCGUUUACGCUCAUCCAUACAUGCAUACACCACCACCAAUCUCCACUUCAAAUGCCGGACCCUAUCCUCAAUCAGCACUUCAAUAAAAAAAUCACCAUAUUUAAUCAAAACCACAUCCUGCGCAUCCCGCCAAAAAACGCACAAACCGCCAGCAAUCCCCCUAGGCUCAAUAGCAUGCAUACACGACAUGCCGAGCCUAUGCUUCAAAAAUCGGUACCUUCGACUAUUAUUUUUUGUUUCCAACAGAGCCACAACCUCGGGGGAGUAGAGCCUAUUUUGCUCCAAAAGAUUGUCAACUGUCAGGUCCCCCCCCCCGAUACCCUGACAGUUCCAACAUAUGAGUUUCAUUGCGAGCGCGGAGACUCCUCAUAGGUAGUCUCCGCUAGGUCCACAACAGACCGUUGUAUUUUAUGCAUACGAGCCAAACCAUUUUCUGCUACAAUAAAGGCAUCCUCUUCAUCUUCCCGACUCUUUUUCAGUAUUUCCGUCGAGACCGCCUCAAUGAUGGGAAGAAGAUUAAAUGGAUCGGAAUCCUGCGAUAAAGAUCCUUGUUCCCCACCCCCACCUACAUCAGAUUCUCCAUGGAUCCUUUCAACCUUUUCUGUAAUUCCUUCCACUAAUGGCAUAUUCAAAUCAAUGUUUCGCACUUGCGGUAUAACUUCAAAACUCUCACCAUUUCCUUCAAGCUCGUCCGGGUGGCUUACCAACUCUAUGAGUCCUGCAGCAGGUGCAAUGACACCACCAGGACCAAUAAGCCCUGCAUCGAAAGCUCGCUCCCGUUCCAACCUUUGACUCUCUUUAACUUCUUCCUCCCGGGCACGACGUCCACCAACAUCCCCCCCACUCCCAUUAUAGUGCCCCCCAUUUGAUGAUAUAUUAGAGGCACUCGGCCCCCCUGAUCUCUGUAGUCCCCCUCAUUUUGCCAUAAACCAAUUUCCCCGCAAAUCAUACUUAGCAUCUAGCCCUUUAAAUGCAAUUAGAGCCUCCACUUCAACCCCUGAUGCGUCCUCUCCAAUUCUCUGUGAUUUACAUCAUCGAGUAACAUGCCCCAUCUUUCCACAAAUGAGACAAUAACUAGGUAGACCUUCAUAACGAAAAUCUGUCCACAUAGUGCCCUCCUCUGGAAAAUCCACAUUUGCUCCCCUCAUGAGCGGCUCCCGGACGUCAAAAGUGAUCUUUACACGUAAAAAUCGCCCAAUACAAUCCCUACCAUCAUCCUUAUCCACCCUAAUAACAGUCCCAAGCAAGCCCCCUAUGGCCCUUGCAACCGCCUCCGUCAUAUUUAAUGGCGGGACACCAUGUAUUUGAACCCACAUCGUGACGAAGUGCAGAGAAUCAGCCCACCGUCCUCGCCGCUCACCAUCGACAACCAACACCAAAUCAUCCCGGAACAACCAUGGCUUCUCCGCCUCAAGAACCCUACACAUAUCCCACCGUCCCACAAACCUAGCCAUAAACCGCAUCCCACCCAGAGCCCUAAUGGAGACCCCCUCUCUUCCUCUCCAUAAACUUGUGAACUGAUCAAUAAACGCAUUCUCAUUAACCGGCUUCAUAGAAAAAACCUCCGCUACAACACUGUAAUGGAACCCCAGGAGCGCACCCUCCAUUGCCUUCUUUUCAAUCUUAAUGCCACCCUUUUCCUUAUCCGAUAGUGAAAGACUCUUACCGAAUUUAGCCGUCAAACCCUCCAUAUUCUGCCUCCCUGCCAUACCACCAUCCACCGUACUACCCCGCAUCAGAAAAGUAGUCAACUGAUGGUAUCACAAAACCCUAGCAGCCGCCGCUCACUUUAGGUUUCCACCGCAACUGCAAAAUAAAACUCUUCGACUUUCUCGGACAACCUCCUUACGAGGCACUUUCACUUUAAUUAAAUUAAUUCAAAUCCACUCACUAUUGUUAUACAUUAGUCCAAAUCCAUUCUUCAUAAACAUAUUGUGACAAUUAGAGUAGGAAGGUAAAUUGUAAUUUGAUUGUAUUGAAGAUUCCUUUCCUUAAUUGGUUUUCUAGAUUAUUUAUGAUUAGGGUUUGUGCAACUAUAUAUAUUUCCUUCUAGUAGGACAAAUACCAUUGAAUUCAUGAAACCCAAUGCUGCUGCAUUGGCAGAUUGAAGUUGACCUCAUCGGAUUUGGGAGUAGGAUUUCGGGAUUUUCUCUCUUCUUUCUCCCAUCCAUUUCGGUCUUUUCCUCUCACAUAUUGUUUAUUUUCUCAUUGCCUCUAUAAAAAUAUCAAUAUAAGAUGUUAACGUGGCUUAACUGUAACCGUUCAAGUAAGAGGGGAGGGAAAGGGAGAGAGAUUAGGAGGGUAGAAAAUCCUCCUCCUCGGAUUUGGGUCCCAUCCGGAUCUAAAUUAUGGAGAUCCUAGGGAUUCUCAUAUCUUAGUCAUUUAUCAUGCAUCUUGUGGUCAGAAAUUAUUUGACUUUUUUUAAUUUAAAAUUAAACACAAAUAGUACCUGACAAAAACUAAUCGCACGAUGUACAAUGAACGGCUAAGGAUCCACAAAGUGGAUCUGAAGAGGAUCCUUUUCCGUCCUCACCAAACAUGUGAACAUUGUGGCUAACAUCACACACUCCGAGCUCGAUAGCAUCAAACCAGGGGUAGAGAUGUGCUAGCUAUCACCAAAAUGAAGCCAUAGUCAAUAAAUUAAAAAUGUGAAAGAAUUUAUACUUAAAAGCUCAAUUUUAUUGAAUACUAAAAAAUUAUCCUGCAAAUCCUACAAACAACUUCCUGACUUGGGGACACAUUAAGGUUCAACCAUAUUAUUAUCACAUAAUGUUUAGAGUAUAGCAGUAGUACAUACAACAGCUAUCACAAAUAGUGUGUAUUGUGCAUACAAUCGAAAGUCUGAACAUUCUUAUUACAAACUAGAUAAGUAGACUAAAGUUUAAUCACCCUACCGAGGUAAAAGGAUUGCAAUAUUGCCUGGCCCACUCAUCUUCAAACGUAGCCUUGGUCUUUUGGCGGUUAAAACAGAAAACCAGAGCACUUGUGUUCUUAGUGGCUUAAGCAACCGACCAACGGGAGUUUUCCAGCAGAUUUCUGCCAACCGACACCAGGGGAACUUUGCGGCACUACCACCGUAUAACGGUCACGACCAUCUCCCUGACCGGUCCCCCAUCUAGCAUACUGCUUUCGAGCGUUAAUAGGGGCACUCUUCUUCCCCAUCACUCGGCGAGCGAUCAUCUCCAUCCAACGUCCAUUUCAGCCAUUUAUCCCUCUGUGGGACAAAGAUCAAAUAUGAGUACAUUGUACGGAAGUCUACCAAGGAUGAAAUGACGAAGAAAUUAUGGUUCGUCAUCAGUAUAAGUUAUGACAAUGAAUAAAGGAAAAAAAGAAUAACAACAAAAUUGAAGUCCAACAUAGCUUACCUUUUAGAAAACCAGCAAAUCGUAAAUAGUGAUCGGUGAGUAUGAUGGCGAUUGAGAGUUCUUCUUAGCGCAAAGAAGACAUACCCACCAGUUGAAGUUCUUCUUCUACCGGAAAAGGGAUCUUUCUCAGCUAGUCAAUACAAACAAAACGAAACCAUAAUUAGAAGGCUUGUGGAAAACAAGAAUCAUAAAACUAUCACUUAUGUCGUUUCUUACCCUUUGCCCUCAAGUUUUUGGCGAUGUGAGCACUUGGCAACACAAGCGUCUAUCACCUCAACCUCGCUAAGCUCUCCAGUUGUUGUCAACAAGGAACCAAUUCUCCUUGUAGGGCCUCUAGUUAGAAGGGUUAUCGAAAAAUAGCAAGAACAAGCUAAGCAUGUGAUGGAACCCCACUUGGCCAUGACUGUUCUUAGUUUGUAACAAUGUUUAAUUACGCUGAGAUUGGGUUCUGUCUGGCGGUGCUCCAUCCAGAGCACGUACAUGCUAAGAAAUAAGUGAAUGGCAUUCGAGUUGAGCUGGUUAAAAGCUAGACCUAUAUGGGCCACAACUCUCUGAAGGAAAAGGUGAAAGGGUAGUGGAACGUCUGACUUAAAGAGUUCAGCAGAAAAAGCCACCCAACCGUGUGACGGUCAACUCGGCCUUUCUCAUUCAAUUGGUGCUCGAAGGAUAACAUCGGUCGGGAUUUAGUACCUAUUUCUCAACACCUUCAACCUUGAGGUGGUCAUAACGCUAACACCUUGAGGUGGUCAUAACGCUAACAAUGUGAUUAGCAGUAUGAUUUCGAGUUUACAUAAUAAUAAGGGUCAAUUGGCAUCCCAACCUUGUAAAGGCACGAAGGGUCGCAUACCUUUUAUUGGAACUCACAGGGAGAAGAUUUCCCAUAUCAUCCAAGUCUGUUAUAUCUGCAUGACAUCAGGCAUUCGGUGAGACCGAGCAAUUCCUCAUCGGUUAUCUCGACGACAACGGCUCGGUCCAUGGUCUAUUCUAAGUUAUCCCUCUGCAGAAGAAAAUGGACUUGUGUCUAUGCCCUGUUGAAUAAAAGUCCCCUAAGUCUAUAACUGGUGGUCGAAAAAUUGGAAUAAUGCUUGGUCUACCAGAGAGAUCCUUGAAGUCAUCGUGUUUGGCAUCUCUUUCUCGAUCAACUACUUGUAGUCUUAAGCCUCUCAAGAGUCAUUUUCCAAAUCAAAAGCGCUCGACAUUGAGCAUGCUCAGUAUCUACACAUAUUUUGGGGGUCCCAGAAAUGUGAAGUAAACUACUUUCACAUUUAGGCCCUAAUUACUAAGGAAAUUUAACAUUAUGGAUUCAAAUAAAAAAGGAUGCCUUACUCCAUUCUGCAAACUAGACUAGCUGAAUUUGAUCCCCGUCAGCGUAUUUUCACAUUGAUAACAACCCACAACAGGAGAUUCAGAGUAAAAUAUAACCUACUUAAAAUGUACCAAAGGAAGACGAAAAUAUAUAAAUGCUAACAUGAGAAAUCAAUCUGAGAGAAUUCAGAAGAAAAGGUCUGAGACUUGUGAAUGGUAAAGCUCAGGUUGUCGAACAUAUUCGCAUAGUGAAUUCGUUAGAGUUUCGAUUGAAGAACCAUAAUGAAGUGAGGGUUUCACCAUGAGGGCAAAAUUAUAUAGCCCGAGGUACUCGAUCUUAACUGUUGAUUAAUGAGAACCAAAACGACUAAAUCGUGAUACGUGGCUGCCCAUUUGCUCGAUUUUUGAAACGGAAGAGAUGUGAAACAACUUCAUGAGGUCAUGUCUGUUAGCUACGUCUUCAAUGCUGAGGUGGCUCGAUUGCGCCACCAACCUACAUCUUCAAUACUGAGGCGCCUCGACAAACACAUAUUCUCCUGACAACACUAACCCCUAAAUCAAGAGUAUGAUGACUGAUGGAAUUCUGAGCCAAGCCCUCGCAUGGGGAAUAUGAUGACUGCCAAGGCACCACAUUCUACAUAUAUUACAUAACAUCGAAGUGUCACCCCUAGAUCCCAACCAACCCUUGUAACUCUUUUCCCGAGAAAGAACCCUUGGACAAGGAGUUGGGGAAAUUGUUAACAUAAAGUCCUUUCUGACCUUGACAGACCCAAAGGAACACAAGCCCAAAGGGAUGCCAGCCGAAAGGAAUACUGCCCAAAGAAAGGUUAAGGCUUAAUGAACUUAAAAGGAUGAAGUCAAGUGCUUUAAGAGCCCAUAGCCUUUAAAUGUCUUAUCAGUAAGUAAAUCGAGCACUUCCUCAUAAAGUACUUUCCGACCACUUAGGGGCAAGUUGGUGCACUGACAGCUUUAUGGCAUGAGGUCCAAGGACAUAGGGCAUGCCUACUCAGGCAUCAACUCCACGCCAUGUAAUGGUUACUCGAGGGAACGAAGGCUAACGAAAGGACGUAAUAACUAACAGAUAAGACGCUCAGGUAUGAGUUUUACCAACCCCAAGGUCGAGCAAGGCACUCUGCCGCAUCAUCACAAGAAAACACACAAUUUAACCUACACAAAUGUCACCUCUUUACCACGUGUCGGCCAAAAAGCAGAGGGAGAACUAGUAGGUCAAAUUUGUGCACUCGGUGCACUAAAUGCAAAGGAAGUGAUAGAUUUGAGCCCAGAGGCUGAAGGUUCAGAGAAUAACCUAUAAAAAGAGGACGAGUACUCCUUAGAAAGGGUCAAACGAAUUGAGAGAUAUAUUAUACAGUAUUAAGAUAAGCCAUAUUUGUAACCUUGAAAUCUAUCUAUUCAAGAGACUUAGUGAGUGUAGUCCAAUUUUGAGGAGUGAACCACUUAAAUUAUGGUGUCCAUUUCCUUUUGUUCGCAAAACCCGAAGCCCACCAAGGGCCGACAUGCAACUAUCUUAGUCUUUAUUGACCUCACCAGUUUUGAGCGUUAACAUUUGUCCUUGAAAUUUUUCUCGAGUCCAUUUCCAUCUUGUUUUUCUUUUCCCUUCUUGCUUAAAAGCAGGCAAUAAAAAUUUUAUUUGUAAAAGAGUGAAUUGAUAGAAAUAGCAUUUAUUCUUGACCGCAAGAUCUAUUCCUAACGGCUGAAAUUAGUGGAUCUCUAAGAUACGGAGUGCAUUGUCCAGAGAUAAUCCUAGUCCUUACAUAUAUUACUAGGUGAGCCACAUCAACAAAGUUAAUGGAUGUUUGAUGAAUUUAAUGAAAACAAGUUAAAGCGGAGAAAAUUGUGAAAAAUUAAAGUAUCGACUUUUGAGUUUUAAGAGUUAAAGUGAGAUUAAAAUUGAGUUCUAAGACACGAAAGCUAAAAAUAAGACUUCCAAAAUUGAUUAAAUGCAUCACUCUGUCAAAUUUAAAUCUUGGACACCAAGACUCAUCUAUGUAGUGACUUCUUUUUGUUCUUGUUUAGGAAAACUAGUAAAAAGAGAUUGAAAACUAAGUUUUAACAAUAAGGGUAAAAUAAAUGGUAAAAUAAAUAGUACCAGGAUUGACUUUUUAGUAUAAAAAUAUGAUUUUUCGUUAAAGUAAACAAUACCGAGAGUCACUUUUUGUUUUUCAUUUUCUCAAAACCAUCCAGGGUAAAAUUGUAACACGGCCCCAAAAUGGUUGGGGGACAAACAAAUUAAACUCCAAAACAAAAUCAAGUAAAUCUACCAACCCACUAAUCACAUCCAGAUCAUUACAAUGUAUUUACACAAUUACCCCAUCUUAUUUCCCAAACUACCCUACUCCGGAAUCGCACUCAAGUCCGCCGCGUACCGCCUUUUACCCCCAUUUCCCCUCCCCCUCCUCGACCCCCCACUGGCACCAGCUGUUACCACUCUCCGACGAUCCUUCACGUCCUCGCCGGAAAAUAUCAGCGGCGACACCGAAUUCCGGCGGCACCCACAUUUCUCGCCGCCACUCUUCAUAAGCGCGGAGCUGGCUUUAACGGCCAAUGCGGCCAUCUCCUCCGCCUUUAGCGGGUGCUUGAGCCAGCUGAGUGGCAAGGCAAAGUACAGCUGGCCGGGCUGCAGCACCUCGUUACCGCUGACGGCCUGAAGGACGUCGUCAAAGUCCAUAUCGUCGGAGUUGCAAAUGAAGCAGGUGGGGUUCUUUUGGAGCACGUAGGAGACCUUUACGGGAUACGGAUAUUCUUGCAAUUUUCCGUCCUGUAGAAUCAGCUUGGCGGUGGCCACUUGGGUCGACCCGGACGAGCUGCAAAUACCCAUUUGGAUCGAAAUCGGAUCGUUGUAAAUGGCGGAGGAUUUGAGUUGCGUCUUAGAGAGAGAAAGUAGAGAGAGAGAGAUUUGUAGGAAGGAGGGAGAAGCACGAAUGGUGUUGAAAAGAGAGUGUGACUACAUAUAUAUACAGGGAGAAAUGGGGGGUGGGGGCUCGUAAUUUGAAGCAUGAUGCCACGUAGGACUUGUCGUUUAGUUAAGCAAUGUUUUAUCGAUCAAUGGGCAGGGCUUUGGCCGAAGCCAGGCUGUAAGUUGGUGGUCACAGACUCACAGGUUGUAAUCGACAUUUUAAGAGUUCUGAAUCAGGAUCCUUUACAUAAGCUGCCCUCCUGGUUGCAUAUAAUUACGAGGAUAGGGACUAGGGUUGUAGCCUGUGGUGGCACUAGCACGGUAGAGCAGUGGCUAUGCUAAUUGGUAUGUGCAUCUUUACGGUGGAAAAGGAUGGGAGGGAGUCAUGAGAUUAAUGGGAUUGCUUUUGGGUUGGGAUGGAGGUCUCAAAAUCCACGAAAAGUCUGAUACGUACAGCUUCCGUAAACCAAACGUAUCAAGUGAAUUCAACACGUGAUGACUGGUGACUAAAAUUCCAUAAUACGAACAUUCAAGUUGAAGUCGUCUUAUCUUAACAUGAAGGGUAGAGAUUAGCUUAAUUGUGAACGUUUUCUGUGUUUUAUACCCACGUGUUAGAGCGGGUUGGAAAAUGUGUUGGGGGCAGGGAGGCAUGAGGGUGCAAGUGGCUUUGGCUCCGUUUCUGUAAACACUUGCGAUCUAUAAACAUCUAGGCGGAGCCAAUGAUAUGUUUUGCUAAUCUAAUAGUUCAGAUUGUGUCCAUAUGGCAAACAAUCUUUAAGUAAGUUUAGAUACUUAUACGCAUGUAAAGAUUUGAAUUCAAUAACGUCUGAAUUUACUGCUUAUUUCAUACUAUUUUUGUGUACUAUUGGACCACUUAGGUUGGUUGGUAUUGGGAGUGAAUGAUUGCAUGCACAUAUAUCAAUUUAGUGCCCACUACACACUGUUUCACAGGCUUGAAUGCAUAAUAGUGCAGUUUCUAUAAGUAGGGAGUGAUGUCAAAGGAUGCUUGUAAAAAGGGGAAGAAUCGUUUGCUAAGCUUGGCAAGGCAUUUCAUGGAUAAUGGGACACCCACCUAACAACGACCAUGAUGGUACUACCAUUAUAUACCAACUUUUUUCUUUUGGGUACUAAUAUAUAUUAUUGUAUGGUUCCAAUUAUAUUUCCCACUUUUCCUCUUGUAUUUUGUGGGAAUUUUUUUUGUUUUUUUGUUUUGUAAAUAAAUUCUUUGUUUUGCAACUCAUUAUAGUAUUUACUCUCAAAUUUCCAAUAAUUCUUUUUUUUUAAAACAAAUAAUAUUAUGUGCACUAAAGAUGAGAGAUAGAAUUAACCAUGGAAGAUAUCUUAUAUUUAUUUUUAAAGCAUAAAAUUUAAAAGUAUUGCAAUCGUUGGCUCUAUUUGCUAUACAAGUAAGGAUAAUACUUGCAUUCUUCCUUUGAUAAUGAGCUCAUUUCUUCAUUUGCAAAUAAUGUAUCUUCACUGUAGACAGUGUCUUACCUUUCAUUUGAAGAUCAUUCCUACAAAAAUUCUCUUGAAUCGGAUAUCGUUUAGUCAUUCAAAUUGUAUCAAACAAACCAACAAUGUAGGUACCAAGUGAUAAAUUAAUGGCGAACCAUCCAUUUACUUGAUACAUUUGAUGGACUAAACGAUCUCUGUUUUGAAAGAUUUUUGUGAGUAUGAUCUUCAAAUGAGGAUUAAGACAUUGAACAAUUAUGAUUAUAAAGUUUCUACGAUAAAGACACGUUAUUUAUAAGUGGGGAAUGAGUUCAUCCUUCAAGAAGGGAAUGCAAGUAUUAUUCUAAAAUUAAAACCAGAAAACAGAAAUGUAAAGACCAUUGGAUGGCAUACCAAAAAAGAAUUUUUAAAAGCAAAUCCUCGAAUAGUUUGGACUCACAAAAGAUGUUAGAAACGUAGAAGUGAAAUUUUAACCUUCCUUAGCCUUGAAGGUUCUUUUGGGGAUCCUUAGAUGUUAGAUGAGAGGUAUAUGGCCUUAUGCUACUGUGCUAGUUUCCUCUUUUACUUAUCCAAUUCUACUUUUUGUAACCUUUGGAUUCCACUAGGUUAAAAGAACUUCCGAGUAUUUUUUUCAAAUGGAAGAUGAAGUCACAAAAGGCUUCUCCUCACAAAGUUAGUCCUGCAAAUAACAGAGGAAAGAUGAAAAACCAUGCAGAUAUUUUGUGGAGAUAUAAGUAUACGAGAGUGGCUUGUACCUUACCAACUAGACAUCUAUGCUUAUUUUUUACGUAAUUUGCGUUUACUAACAUAUAAGAAAAAAAAAACGUAAGUAGGUCUCACGUCCCUCUACCACAAUGUGAAAAUUUUCAAAGACAGUCUAGGUAAUCUUACCUCUAUUUUAAAGAUUUUUAUAAUUUAACUUUAGAGUGAUAGAGCAUUUUUAAGUGGGGUUAAAGAACAACCAAGGGCCUCAAGAAGGAGAGAGACUUAUCUACAUUGUUGUAUGAUAAAGUUACACUUCGUUACCAGUUUUAGAUAUAAUCACGAUUAUGCUUUGUUUGGUAAUCUAAAAUUUACACAAAAUUGAAAAUCGAAAACAAUUAGAAUUUCUUCAACCAGUGUAAGAUAAUCUUUCUGAAAACUUAAGUCACCAAAUGAAUUAUGGGUUCGAAAUUGAAAAAUAAAUGAUUGUCAAACAGAAAAUUCUCGAUUAAUCCUGGCAACAUUGUACAUAAGACCAAAAGUAAGAAAGGUCCAAAAUUUUGAUUCUAAUUGCGAACCCCAAUAACAAAUCGAAAUUGUGACAUACAAUUCACAUUGCUAAAACUCCAAUAAUUCACAUGUCUGAGAGGACUCAUGUCACUCAUCAUCUCCACUCCACUCCCCAGACAAAGACUGCAUGCAGAUUGCAGGUGAAUUGUAUUCUUCGAUGGGAAUGGGGUAUUUUAACAGAGACAACAACGGAGGGAGUGAAUAAUUGGAGAUUGAGUGGCUCAUGAAUUUGCAACGCUUGCUUUUGCACUUUGCAGGCACAUUAUUGAUAUUUUGGCCCAACUCCAAGGGCACAGAAUAAAUUCCAAUAGAUAAAAAAAUAAUAAUAAUAAAAGAAAAAAAAAAAAUAUAUAUAUAUAUAUAUAUAUAUAAAGUUGGAAGAAACGAAUGAAUAAGAAAAAUGGAAACGUGGCGUGGUGAGGGAGGAGGUGGUGCAUCGCUGCAAAGCAUGAGGGAAGGCACGUGGAAAAGAAUAACCUUGAAAACUGCAACAAGUUACCUAAAAAUAAUAAAUUUAAACACUCUAUUCAUUUGGUUCCAAUAGUAUUUUAAAUUGUCAUUUAGUAUCACAGUCUAGUAGAAUUCGUUUGAAAUUUUCAUUUUAAAAGACGCUUCACGUUCAAUGAAACUCUUCUACUAGAAGCACAUUGAAAUUUUUAGUAAAAAUAAAAGUGUUCACUAGAAAAGUGCUUUGAAGAUAAAGGCACUUCUAACUUUUUCGGUUAAAAAAAGUAAGAAUCACUUUUGGUGAUCUAAAGUCAUUUAACUUAUUGUAAAAGUACUUCUAAAUACGCUUAUUUCCCUCUACCUAUAAAUUUCUUAAAUUUGACUUCUUUAUAACGUAUUAUGGCAAGUCUUAUUGUAUGGCUUAACCCAACAUCGGCUUCUUUACUGUAAAUAAUAUAGAUAUUAUUGCAAGUUAUUGAAUUAAGUGUGCGACAAGGGGUGGCGUAAGGUGAUCUGGGUGUGCUGGUUUGCUCCCCGACUGUGCCUGCAAUCUGCAUGCUCCCAUGCAUGUAUACUGGUGCAAUGCAACCCUCCUCUCUUUUAACUUAUUCAAUAAGCUUCCAAAGUCCGCCUCCCUUUACUGCUUCUGCGCUUCUACUUCCCCGGCCACUCUUAUCAUCCUGCAAUCCACAAACCUCCUCUCUUUUAACAACAAAUCUUGUAUAUAUUCAUGACCUAUACUUUGGCUACUCAAAGGAUGAGUAGGAGUUUUACUUAAAAUUGUCCAAUGUCAAUUUACAGAACUUUGUGUUUAUGAUCGGAACCGUUCAUGUUAUAAAUCAUUAUGUAAAAAUCGCCUCUGCAAAAAAUCAAUUAAAACUAGGUUUGUUUAGUCAUCAAAUUGUACAAAAAUAGAUGAACAUAAUUGGUAAAAGAAUUAUAGACCGUCUAUGUAUUUGCUACACUAGAUUAACUAUACAACCUUAGUUUUAAUUUAUUUUUUGCAAAAGAUGAUAUUUACAAAGUGAUUCAUAAUAUAAACAUUUUGAUCAUAAGCACAAAACUUUGUAAUUCGAAUACGAAGAAUUUUGAGUAUGAGCUUUUACUCAUCCUUGAGUAGUCAAGCAUUAUUCUGUAUUUAUUAAUGUUGAUAACUAUGAUGUUGUCAUAUACUGUUAUUGUCGUUGUCCUAUCUUAUCGUUUAUGUUGUGGGAUUAUGAAUCUAUACUAUUCAUCAUAUUAAAGUUAGACAAUUUAAUGACAUAACAUAUUAAAUUCAACUAUAAUCUCUUCUCAUCCCUCGCAUUGAACCUAAAAUAUUGAUCGAGCGGACUUUUAAUUUAAUGCCUAUAUCCAUAUAAAUAAUCUAGAUUCAUUAGUGUAAUGUACCAUAACAUGUCAAAUACUACGACAAUAUAACAUUAUCAUUCAUCACAUGUGAAACUAAAUUGUUUGUAAGUUAGAAGUUUAUUUAAAUGGUGUGCAUGGAAGCAAAAAAUUCAGAUUUACAUACAUAAUUUAACAACAUAACAUGUCAAACCCUGCAUCAAUUAGGCAUGUUAUAUAAAUCCAUUGGCAUUGAAUUUCAAAGACAUUGUUACAUCAAUACUUUGACUAAGGAUGUAAUUAUAAAAAAUUUCACAAUCUGGAUUUUUAGAGGGUAAAACUUGAAGUGAAAGUGUGGUUGGAACUUGGAGGAGAAGGUUGAGUUUCUUAAUUACUAAUAUUACAAAUUAUUCAUGUCACAGUAAUCCUACAUAAAACACAUCCAAAUCACACUUAAUUUCAACACAUUCUUCAACAACAGAAAACUAAACAGGAAAUCUAAGCUGGAUUUCUUCCAUUUUGCCAUGCAUGCUCAUGUUCUCUUUUUAUUUGGGGGGGGGGGGGGGGGGGGGAGCUGGAUUUCUUCCAUUUUGCCAUGCAUGCUCAUGUUCUCUCUUUUGUUGGGGGGGGGGGGGGGGAGAGAGAGAGAGAGAGAGAGCAAAGAGUAGCAAAUAAUUGAAAUAAUAUAUUUAGUAUGAACCUGUCUGCAAAGGGUUGUAACUCCCGACAAUACCACACAGACAAUGGAGUUCGUGGAAUGUGAUUGUUCUUUCUUAAUUGUUUUUUACAUAUGUUAAAUAGAACAAAGAGCUGGCUCCCCCCUGUAUGCUUAAUUUUUUAUUUUUUUUAAAGGGGGACAAUUGGUGGCAAGCCACAGUUAUCUAUCCCUUUUAAGGGCCGAGAAGACUCACAGAGGCAUUUCAGCCUUCUCAUGACCACAAGUCUAGCUUCCACACCAAUAACGGAUUUCUCUUGUAUGCUUAAUUAAAUUUAAUAGUUGAUACACCCUAAACCGCUAAACCCCAUACUUUGUCAGAAUGAUUACUAACUAAUUGUUCUGGUUUGAUUAUAAUAAUUAUAAUUAUGAACUUUACUUUAUGGGUUCAAUUAUUAAUGUCCCCGCAUCAAUUCCCUAACUUUCCUUGAAGCUUCUUUGUGUUCUUCAAACUCUCCAAUUCCCCCACCAAAAUCUCAAAAACAAUCAUGCAUGUAUCCCUCUAAAAAAAAAUAAGGGCUUCAAUCAUGCACUUUUUUACCUAAAGAAAUGUCUAACACCCGAUGCCUUUUGUGCUUUUAAUCAUUUUUGCAACAAAAAGCUCUUAUUAUUUGAAAAAUGACCUUUUCUGCUCCUUUCUCACCACCCUGUCCCUCUCCCACACAAUCUGGCUGGACUUUUGGUCUUCAUGAGCCCAUGCAUAACAAGCAAGAGGCUGUAUAUGUUGGGCUCUAAUUUCACUAGAUCUAGACCCAUAUUAUAUUAAAAGCAAGUAUUCAUUGUGUAAGACGUUUUUUGUUGAAGAGAGGACGUGCUACAAUGGCAUCGACACAUUACUGCUCACCCGUUCUUUAAUAUGUGUUUCAUAGUCGGUGUAUAUGAAAAAAAAAAUAAUAAUAAAUAAGAUUAUAUUCAGACUCUCCGUUCGUGCCAUGUCUGGACUAUUUAUAUAUAAAAAGAAUAUAUUCAGAUUCAGUAUCAAUUUUCUAAUAAGAACUAUUUCUGUAUGAAUUAUGGGACUUGCACUCUUUUAAUUUUGGUUGGACAUUUUUCUUUCUUUUUUUUGGUAAAUCAAUUGAACUUUGAAGCAGACAUGUUGGCAACACAAACAAUGAACCCCACCAACCGGAUAAAAACAAAUCCUACUAAAUUAUGUGUGUAUUAUGAAUUCAGACAAAACCUGGAAAAGAAUCUGAUCUAACUAAUACUUGAACCCUAGUUUGAAGAUUAGAAAUAAACUUUUAAAGGUUGGACAACAUAUCGCUUUAACAUUAUUUUUAAAGGUAGGGCAACGUCAUUACCAUGAAAGUUCUUGAUCCACAGCACUUUAUCCAUGCAUGGCUGUUUGGGCCCCACCUCUCGUUAGCCCCUUAAGAUUUGGAAAGUCUUGAGCUUUGGUCAAAUUGGUUCUGAAAUCUGCAUUAUCAAAGAAUACAAAGAAUGCGGUACUAAAUAGUAAAUAAUUGAACAGAUUUUCAACAAAUACAAAGAAUUUUUGUCCCCUACUCGUCCUAUGAAUUCGACAAGAUGAUUGAGAUCACUAAAAAUAUAGCAGAAAUGAGAUACCUUGGAUUGGAUGUGGCUUUCCUUCUUCUUUCCUUGCAAGAUUGUGAUCUUGGGUUUUGUUUCUUGUGUUGAACUGCAGCAAAAGGAUUGGAUAAUGCCCUUAUCUCUCUUAGUAAAUCUGAAUAUACAAUCUGGUCGAAGAAAAAGGAGCAUAAUGUUCUUGUUAAUACUUCAUAGUAUACUUACUUUGCAUCAAUUCAAUCAAACUUGUAUGGAAGUUUUAGUUGUUCCCAUCCGUCUGUAUAUUAUAUUACUAUCAGCUGCAGUUUGACGUGAAUCUCUGAAGGAGAACAGAACAGAUUAUUAUUCUCAAGAAAAAAAAAGUACAGAAAAGGAAGAUAGCUGGUUAAAAACUUAACUACAGAACUUCGUGACCUGUAUGUUGUGUGCGUCACAAUGCGCUUUUCACAUAUUUUGAACUCGCCAUCUAACUUCAUUGGCAACGACCAUGAUGUAUCAAUUGGUAUUAGGUUCUUUCUGCAUGGUUGACAUGUGCUCGAACAAGAAAUCAGCAGCAAUUCAGGUGCUCAAGCUCCAAUUUGUACACUUAAUCAACACACCUGAAAGGAAGAAACCUGUUUGUAGAACACAUUUCUACUUGUUACAUAAUCAUAUGUUGUAUAUCCUACUAAACUUAAGAACCCUAAGGAGCUGAGAAUGGCCACAAGCACAAGGUUAAAGGCUUGUCUGUAUAGCUUCACUUCUCCCGGAGGUCCAAUGUACCCCACAAGAGCUGUUCAUCAUGCGGCAUGGGAUGAAUUAGAUUUGCCCUUUCCUGUUGGCAGAUACUCUCAGCAUCUUAUAAGCCUGUUCUUCCGAUUGAUAUAUCCUUGGCACUGGCCCGCUUCUUGUUGGAAUUUCAUAAUGGAUUGCGUAAGGGCAGUACUGUAUUCUCUGUUAGGAUUAAUCUACUCAAGUUUGGAGAAGCUGAGAAAGCCAAAGUUUUAAAAUGCUGCAAAUUUCGAUAGUCAGUAACCAAAAAUUAAGACCUACAUUUUUCAUGUCGGUUUGGACUCUAGAGUAGUUAAUGACUUCACAUUUAAACAAAAUAAUCUUCUUGAACUCCAAAAUAAAGUGGUUAUUUUUUCAGAAAUUAAUUUGAUUUUCCCUCGAACGGGUUUGGUAUGAAAAGAACAUGCAAUCAGUGCCUGCUUGCAAGUAAUUACAUGUAAAGACAAUCAAAAGUGUGAACAAUUAUCAGGGUUUUAGAGCAUUCUAACUUACUGGUACAGCAGCACGACAAUUCUUCUAUACCCAAAAAUGCAUUUGGAGCAUACCGAAUGGGCCUCAGAUGAUCAGUAAUUGAUCCAGAAUGGAGUAUAUACUGCUUGAAGUUUUACGUCUCUUGUUGUCAACCAUAAAUUCAUAAACACGGCCAUCAAUUUCGAUCGAGCUCAUUGCUCCUACUUUAUGGAUCCACCGUCUUUUAUUAGUUUCCCAAUGAUCUUAACAUCUUCCCAUCUGUGCACUUCACCAAAUAUGUUUGCUAGAAGUACAUAAAGCCCAGAACCAUGCGGUUCCAACUCCAACAGCUGCUUCAGAAUUAGCUUUCCCAAAUCCACAUUUCCAUGGAUCCUAAAAGCACCAAGCAAAGCAUCCCAAGUGACAACAUCAGGCUUCAUAGGCAUUCCUCUUACCAGCCUCAUUGCUUCUUCUAAAAGUCCCACUCACCACAGCAGAUCAACCAUGCAAGCAUAGUGCUCAAUUUCAGGUGAUAUUCUGUAAAUAGACUUCAUUUUUUCAAAAUAACAUCUCCCGAAGUCAAGAAGACCACUUUGACUACAAGCAGAAAGCAGUGCGAUGAAGGUCUCAUCGGGCCAGAUUCCACCUGCUUGCAUAUGUUUGAAUAUCACGAUUGGUUCUAAUCCAUGACCGUGCAAUGCAAGGGCCUGGAUAAUGAUGUCCCAUGAUACGACAUUCUGUUCUGGUAUCUGAAAAAGAAUAUACAAGGCAAUUCCAACAGCACCGCAUUUUGCAUACAUGUCUAUCAGGGAAUUAUAAAGAGUUACACUGGCUGCAAUAUUGCAGAUGCAAAUGUAAUUAUGGGUUUUCCUUCCAAUAACCAAAUUGCCAAUUUGACUGCAAGCUGAAAGGACGUACCAAGGUAGCCUCAUCGGGCACCACACUGGAAUUAAGCAUUUUCUGGAAAAGAUCCAAAGGCACCCUGCACUGGCCUUCUCGGACAUAAUUUGAAAUCAUUGAAUUCCAAGAAACUACAUUUUUCUGUGGCAUCUGGUUGAAAAACUCCUCAGAAAAUUCAAUGAGCCCUUGUUUAGCAUAUGCUCUAACCAUUGACAUCCAGGAAACCACAUUUUUGUGAGUCAUUUGAUCAAAAAUCGUUCAUGCCAAGUGCAACUGCCCACACUUGGCAUACAUAUCCAAAAGAGCAUUUCUCAUAAUUUGAUUAACUUCAAUCCCACUAACCCCAAUAAAAAGAUAGAUAUAUCUUCCCAGUUCUAAAUCACAAGCUUGUGAACAAACAGAGAGUAAAGUAACCAAGGUGAACUUAUCAGGCUCAACCCCCAAUCUCCAUUCUCCCUAAACAAUAAAAAAGCUUCCUCCCAUGAACUCGUUCUAGCAUAUCCACUGAUCAUCGAAUUCCACAAAACCACACUCCUCUCAGACAUAUCAUCAAACACAUUCCGAGCGCAACUGAACAACCCACAAAAUCUGUAGAGAUUAAUAAGGGCAUUUUGCACGCAAACUUGAGACCCAGUUCCUAGCUUAAUACCCUAACUGUGGACAACCACGGCUUCCCAAUAUGCAGACUGCCCCACGCAAACGUUGAGCACAAGGGGCAGCGUGAACUCGUUCGGUGAGAGUCCUGAACCAACCAUAUGGCAGUGGAGUGAAAAAGCCUUAAAUGGGUCAUCACUAUUCGAGUAACCCCUUAUCAGACUAUUGUACAUAAACUUAUUUAGUUUAGGAUUUUUGUGGGACACGAGCUGGGCGUAAAGGGGAUUUCCGGAAUCAGAGACGGAGCAGAAGGAUAUGAGUUUCCCUGACGGUGACGUUUUCGUUUGUGAGGCUGAGGAUGAUUUGGGCGUGGAGCUGUUUGAGUUCUUUCAUGGAGGAGCACUGCUCUAGGAGAUGAUGCAGGGUUUGGUGUGUGGAGGUCUUGAAUUUGUGGGUGAAAUUGGUGGGAUUUGGAGGGAGAGUGGUUUGCAGAGAGUGAAAGAGGCGGGAAGCAACGGUCGGAUUUUUGGCGGUGAAUAACAUGGCCGUUGGGCUUUAGGUUUGGGGGUAAAUGUAACGGUUUUAUGAAUUAUAAAUACCAAGUAUUUUUUGUUCAGUUGAAAAUAUCAUGUUGCAACAACUGGCCCUUCACUUGUACGGAAGGUCUCGAAACUCACAUGAAUUAAAUAAUACUUCCCUAGUGAAUAUGAAUCCUUGACGAUGUGAAUUCUUAUUUGAAUGUAUGAUUCAGAAUGACAGUCUAAUAACAACACGUGUCGGAUAUAAAGAAAAUGUAGUCCACAAUCAUGCCGUUCAUAAUGCUAGUGUAAGUUCAACUAAACAAGAUGACUAUUAUGUACAGGUUCAGGCAAAUAUGGUUACAGAAGGUGUCACUUGCAUUUCUUAAGAGUUAAGGACCAAGCCCCGAAGACAACAUUCGACUUGCAUCUAUUAAGCAUAUAGCUAGCGUUCCUUCUAAGCUAGGAUCAAACUCGUCCUUUGAGUAUGAUUGGGCCUCGCAGUGGUAGAACCUAGUGAACCAUACGUACCACUUCCUAACCUUCUGUGGACUGGACCUUGCUUCUCGUAUGGUGAGGGGGACGACCAGCCAAAUUCACAUCAGAAAUCGACAACAUCAACACAAACAGUUUCAAACCUAAAUUUUACUAAUUACAAGUAAAUAAAAUGAGAACUAUUUCUUUUUCUUCAUAAAAUACAAUUCAACAGAAUAACCUUGUAGGUAUACUUUUCUUUAAGUUUCGUCUCAGAACGACCCUAUCUAUAUCUCCCAAAAAUAUCUGUAUAUGGAUGCGAUUGUUCUAACUCGGUGGAGCUCAAUUGUUGUAUAUGACAACAACCAGCAGGACCUUUACAAAGAAGCAAGAAGCCAGAGAUUGAACAGAGAGGAACCUAGUGAAAGAAACCAAGACAGGAAAGCCAUGGCAGCAGAUAACUGAUAUCUAGUACAUAACUUGGCGGGGCAGUAGGAUCCGUCGAGAUACAGUAGGAGAUUUGUGGUACUAGCGGUCGUGCAAGCUGCAGCGAGUGAGAGAUACGACAACGCCUGUGAUGAAACGAACAUAAUAUAGUCUUAACUUAAGUUGGGAAAAGGAAGAACAUGUUAAUGGGAUAAAUAAGUUUAUAGACAAAAACACAUACCAAGUCUCCUAAAAUAAUUAUUAUAAUUAUUCUUGGUUGAUGAUGCAAACAUCUAAAGAAGACAGAGUAGACAUCAACGAUCACCAGAGUCAUGCUCCACGGAACUACCAAACCCAUUACCGUCACCAAAUAGCUGCAACACCAACCAAGCAAUGGUAAGAGUUACUACUGUUACUAGAAGAGUUUCUGGUGGAUUACAUUCGUCUCCUUCAUUGUUGCACACUAGAAAAAACCGAGACAAAACAAAUCUGACAACGGCUAACAAACAAUUCAGAUAGCACCAUAUAAUCCCUUCAGUUUACAGGUUAGCACAUGAAAAAAACAAACAUUGUUAGCAAAGUGACUUGAAUUUGUUAGGUUUUAUAAGUUGAAAAGUUCUUAAUUACUAAAAUAUAUACCCCUACCCCAGAAGACUCUUUCAGAGAAGGCAAUAUUUUAUAGGGUUGAGAACACACGCCAUUAAGGACAAGUGCAGGGUGAGGCUAUACAUUAGAAGUACAUUGGAGAAAGGCAAGCCGCACAUACAGGUGAACAGGGCUAGACUUCUUUGGACAUAUCAUUAGAACAUAAGUUCUCAAAGACUAAGUCAAUGACUAGAGAAACAUUGACACGAACAGACGUGCAAAAUUAGCCUUGUGAGAAAAAAAAUAAAAAUUCAACUAAGAGCAGAUGAAACAACAUGAUUUCCGAUAUGGCAACUGGUACUCCUUUUUCGGAGCUUUAAUGUUUACACUGUAAUGUUUGGAGGCUGAAAGAUUUGGCUUCCAAUUCCCGAUUCGGGAGCUUUUUUUUUUGCAAUUCAGAUUCAUGUCAAACAGGCCAUAAAAUGGGUAAAUUCUAUCGAGCGGUUUUUUGAUGCUCUAUGAUGUUCGAAUUAGACUUCAAAGCUGCUAAAAACUAAAACUAUCACAAUCCCUGGCUUUGAUUCAAACAUAGAAAGUAAAACUUCCCAUCGACAUAGUUUCUAGUGAAGAUACCCGAAAUUCGAUGGUGAAUUACAGAGUCUUGAACAGUUCCUUCUAAACAAAAAGUUCAAUAUAUUUACUUGCUCAAUUAGGAGGAACUUAGAAACAAAAAACAUGUACUAAAAAUCUUCCAUCAAGUCCAAGUAUAUAAUAUUUUGCACGUAUAAAAUAGAGUUAAAUUUAAACCAGUACAAUCUCUAUACGAUCUUUUCACAAAUACAGUUUCCAGUUCUUGAGAAAACCAUAAGGCAAUAUCCAGCUCAAGAAAUCAAAACAGAAUUUCCAUCAAAUUCAAAAACAGAGACAUGGGUAUUGAAGAACAAAUCGAAAUCACAAAAGGGUCGGAUGAAAUUCAACUAAAACCUCCAAAAACUCCUAAGUCGAAGAAUUCGAAAGUACCAGAAGGCGGUGUAGCUGUAGAACUCGACGUCCAAGCACAUGAAGAGAAGAGAGGCAGUGGAGAAGAUGGUCUGCCCGAAUCGCAGAGCCAAGCUGGCACUGGUUCCCAACGACCCCGGCAGUUCAUCCAUGCUUGCAAUUGCAUGCAGCUGCAGCCGCAGCAAGAACUCCUCAUGGCAAACGAAAUUCAAGAACAAUUCUUAUCAGCCACAUGACCAAGUAAUUGUGAGAAAAAUGGAGUUCUAAAUAAUUGUGGGGAAAUACGGGGAGGACUUGCUGUGGAGGGAACAAUGGCAAUGGGAAUGUGAAUCGUUGUGGUGAAUUGUGAAGGAAAAGGAGUGUUCGCGGACAAAAGAACAGAAAAGUGAAAGGGACGUAAAGGGUACGCAGAUUUUGGUGGGUUUUUGGCUUUGGCUUUGGCAUCUCCUCCUUCAUGAGGGCAGAAAUGGUUUAAUGUUCUUCUCCGGCUGGUAGCGAUGUGUGGUGGUAAUAAAAUGCCAAACAUUUUAGGCCACACUUAACGGAUGUGACAUUUUUAACAAGUUGUCUACAUGUUUUGGAUGUUUAAAAAAAUUGAGAUCAAUUUCAAAUGAUAGUAAAAGGUUGGGAACUUUAGGGUUUGUUUGGUAUCCUAUUUGAAAAUUUUUAUAAUUUCUCAAAACAUUUCUUAAGAAUUUUUCUUGAAAACAAUUUUCUUUAAGACUCAAAAACUUGUUUGGUAUGUGAUUUAAAAUUUUUAAAUCUUACAACUAAAACUGGAUAAAAAUAUCCAUAAAAAGGAGGUCGAGAGAGAAAGAGGAGAGAUGAGGAAAGAAAGUAAGAGAUGAUUAGAGGAAAGAAAGUAAGAGAUGAUUGGAGGAAAGAGAAAAAAGUGAGAAGAUCGGAGGAGAUAGAGAGGAAGAGGAGUGAGAGAAAGAAUCGAGAGAAUGAAGAGAACGGAUUGGAGGAGAGACGAAAAAAGUUAAAAAAAAAAAAAGAGAAAGGGAAGAGAGAAAGAAGAAAAGAGAGAUAUAUUUGGAGUGAGAGGGGAGGAAGGAGAAAAAAGAAAUGAGUGAGUUUAAGUUUAAAAACUCUAAAAACUCUAAAAACUCACUUUUUAUGUUUUUAGAUAAUAAACUAUUUUUGAGUUAGUCUUGAGUUCAGUUUUUGAAAAUAAUCCUACCAAACAAGUUUUUAAGGCCUAAAACUUGAAAAUUGUUUUUGAGUUUAAAAAGUUGAAUUCAAGUAGAAUAUCAAACAUGCUCUUAAGUUCUUAAUCUUUUUUACAUUAUUAAGUUUAUUAUAAGCAAUAUUACUACCAUAUCCAUAUUAAAGGAGGGUACGACUCCGAACACUGUAAGUUAAGAAGAGGAUCUUAACCAUCAAGAAAUAUUUAUAUGGCACAUGUACACUAGCGCUACGCGCCAAUAGAAUAAGAACAUAAGUAAAUUUUUGUCUCUAUAUUCUUAUUUUGUUAGCACAAAAAACCAAUAACCGUACUCCCAACCAUGAGGGUGAUUCCAAAAAAUUAUUAAGUGGGUAAAAAUAAUAAGUUUCUUUUCCUCCUUUUCUUUUUCCUCAAUAAGGUUCUUUGAAUCAAAGUGUAUAAAAUAAGGGAAUCGGCCUUAAAUUUGCUAUUAUAUUAUAUGUCAUUGUUUUUCCUUUUCAUGAUUAAUUGCCGAGUGUAUUUUAAUACAUGUCGAACAAAAAUCUGUCUAUAAAAAGGAAACUGAUCGGGGCAGGUCCUCAACUGUAAAUGGACGUUCUGAUAUCGUAUAUCAUCAUGUUACUUGAAUUAAAACGAAUAAACUAAUAUAAACGUGAGAUGAGAUUCUACUUAAUCACUUUAAUUUGAAUUUUUACACUCAUAAUUUAGAUCAGUUUAAAGUGACAGAUUACUUUUGAAAACAAAUAAACAAACUAAUUGUUAUCAUAUUCAAAGCACCCAAAUAACAAUAAAACAUUGACUAAAAAAAAAAAAAUGAAUAACAAAGUAGUAUAUUACGAAACCCUACGUACUACUAGUUUUUUUCUUUGUUGUUUUUAAAGUUUGGAUAACAUUAAAGAGAUCAAAUUUUUGAAUUAAAUUUGUAAAGUAACUGAUAUGUCACAAAUAAAAAAUAAGCAUGUUAAUCGAUACUUAAUUAGUAAUUCAAUUAUCUAUAACCACAUUAUUUGAUUUACAAAUUUAACGUUACCCUUAGGGUAUGUUUGUUUGCCUUCACUAGCAUUCCUUGGACUGGACUAGACUAAAUAAUAGUCCAGUCUGGUGUUUGUUAUUUACACGGACAAGCGUUAAUGAGACUAAAGAGGACUCGCCCCGACUGAACGCCUCGCUAGCCGUUCUUAGCGAGAGCCCUCGAUUUCGAGCAGACUCCUAGUCCCGUCCUCCGCUGAUCCAUCCGUCUUCUUCUCCUUCGUACCUUUGCCAUCUCCCAUCUCUUUCACGACUUCGCCGUCUCAUCCGAGUUCGAGCAGGACGAGGAGGUUCUCAGCGACGACGGAGAGGCCUCUUUUGACCUCAAACUCUUCGUGGGUAACCUUCCCUUCAGCGUCGAUAGCGCUCAGCUUGCUAGUAUCUUUGAGAGCGUUGGAAAUGUCCAGAUGGUCAAGGUAAUUCCUUGUUUUCACUCGAAAUUUUGUAAAUUUUACUUGAAAUUUGGGUGAAAAGUGAAAUCGGUUGUUGCUGGUUUAGUGUUUUGUGGGUUAAAUUUGGAAGGUUUUUAGCAGGUGAUAUAUGAUAAGACGACCGCAAGAAGUAGAGGAUUUGGGUUUGUGGCUAUGUCAAGUGUUCAAGAAGUUGAAUCUGCUGCUCGCCAGCUAAACGACUACGUAAGUCUGACCAUUUGCUGAUAUUUUCUUAUAUAUGCGAAAGUUUGUGAUUUGCGAAUUGGUACUUUAUUUGUAAUCGUAUUUAUACGAACGGGAAUCUAUUUUGAGAGAAAAUGGAAAUUUUUUGACAUUUUCUGCCCUGCAACUUCCAUGGCUGCUUGAGCCAAGUAGGAAUAGAGAACACAGUAAGAAGUCAAGUGGUAACUUGAUUCCUGGAAAGCAAUAUGUCAGUGUAAGAACACAGGCUCUAGUGACCAUUCUGUCCUGGUUGGCGAGAAAUGGUUUUGCUCCUACCGACAAUGUGGUCGUGUCUCUGGCAAAAUCAAUAAUUGAACCACAUGUUACCAAAGAGGAAGACAUAGUGGGUUGCUCAUUUCUGUUGAAUAUGUUGGAUGCUGUGAGUGGGGUUGAAGUGAUAGAGGAGCAGCUUAGAACAAGGAAGGAUUACCAAGAAGUUUCUAGCAUCAUGAAUGUGGGGAUGACAUAUAGCUUGUUGUAUAGUUCAGCAUUUGAGUGUGAAGAUCCUACGCAAAGGAGGGAGCUGCUACUAAGGAAGUUCAAAGAAAAACACACAGGUAAUCGGCUACACUUAUUUACAAUUUGCUAUGCUAUCAUCUUAAAGCUCCAAGCAGUGGAAAUGUGAAAAAGAGUAAUAUUAUUGAUGCAUGUACAUUUUUACAAUGAUAAGGAGUUCAUGGUUUUGUAUGUUGUUUUAUUGGAUUCAGGUGAAAUAGGCAAAUUUGACAAGGUGCAGUCUACCUUUUGGAGGGAAUGGAAAUUAAAAUUAGAAGACCAAAAGCGUGUUGCAGAUCGUUGUACAACAUUCGAGAAAAUAAUCCCUGGUGUUGACACGGUACGCUUUUAGUCUUAGGACUUUGAUUAUAUUAAGAGUGUUGUGCGUCCCUUGAUUGAUUCAGUCAAGUUAGAGAAUAAGCACAUUUUGAAGGAUGUUUUAACAUUAGCUGAUGAAUACCACUUGAACCGUUCACAGGUAGGCAGCUUUGUAGGCUUACAUCUCUGAAUUCUAUAACAUAGAGAUGGCUUUUUCCCCCAUUAAGUGAUAGUGAUCUAUUGUUUCCUUGCAGAUCUUUUUGUGUUAUUUGAGUUCUGUCAUUGUUUCUGAGGUUUGGACCAAUGAUGAUAUUACUUGUGAAAUUUCGGAAUUUAAAGGUGAAAUAGUUGGCUAUGCUGUGGAAACCAUCAAAGCUGUUUCAUAUAUUGUAUACCCUGCAAUUGAUGGAUGCCAUAAGGUGCGGCUUGCUUACAUCUUUGGUCUGCUUUCGGUGAGAUCAGACUCAGCCAUCGUAGUAGAGUCAUAAAUGGCAGUUUUGAUGCAGCAAGUUGUUACAUGUGCAGGCACCAACUUGCUUGCUAGAGCAACAAAAGGCAUGUUAUUGAUUCAAUAUAUUUUAAUUGUUUGUAACUGUAUGUUCAUGUAAGGAGUCGACUCAGAGGAACUGUAGUGCAGGAGUACUAUCGUAUUCGUGUAGCCUAAACAAGCUUGUGUUUUAGUCUAGUCAGUAAAUUAGUUAGAAUAGCAAAAUUUUGUCUGCUCAUAACAUUUAAAUUUACAUUCCCUCAGCUAAAACUUUUUGCUUCACUUUUGACAAUCCUUUGCUCCAAACGGUGUGUAUUUUGCUCGAGGUAUAUUCAUGAUCUCUUCCUUUUGCAUAUUGUUAUUGGUUUUCUUCAAACUAGUUGGAGCAAGCAAUUUACGUGCUCAAAUCCAAAUGUAGCAAUGAUCAAGGCUCGGCUAUCCAUUUGCCAUUGCGCCUCACACAUCAUUGUGGUCUUGGGAUUGAAUGCAAUCAAACCAAAGUUGAAUAAUUAAGAAAAGCAUUCUAAAACCCGUCAAUUGUUAGGAAAACACGUUUGUUAUAUUGAUGUUUGGAGCAAUACUACUCUUGAAUCAUGUAUGUUUCUUUCGUUGGCAAGAAAUUUGGUUUUGUUUUUAUUUUUUAUUGAGUCAUACUCUUAUCUAAUAUUAUUAAUUUUGAUAAUAUCUUUAAAUAAAAAGAAAUUAAAUUAGAAUAAUAAUUUAGUCUCAGUCCGAGCAAACACCAAACUGGUUACAAUACUAUUUUCAUUAUCAUGCUUCUUAAUCCGACACUGCACCAAACGCUUCACUAAGUUAGUCCAGCUUAGUCUAGUCUAAGCCAGUCCAGCUUAGUCCCUGAACCUAGUCCAGUCCGAGAUAGUCCGGUGCAACAAACGCACCCUUAAAGUUUAUAUGGAUUUAGCUUUGUCAACAAGUAUAGAUGAAAACUGCCUAUUGACAAAUUAAUAUUUAAUUAAAUGCGCGUUGCUUUUCGUUUAAACUAUCCAAUAUACAAUAAUUUCCCAAAUGUCAUGUUCAAUGGUCUCUUUCACAGUGGGACCUCGAAUUCAUGCAACGCGGCAUGAGAAAUAUUUCAAUGUGUGCAAAACAGAGACACAUACGUUAGAUGACACUGUAUAAGUUUAUGGACAUUUAGAAAAAAUUAUCUUUAAUUAUAUGAUAACAUAUGACAUACUAUCUUUUGUUCCGAACACAUUAAAAAAUCUUUCAUGCAAUCAAGGAUUUAAAUAUUAUUUGAUAUAUGAAUAAUAUAAUUACUUUCAAGUCUUGCCACACAAAAGCACACAAAGUAUCAUCACGCAUUAAAAAAAAGUUUGACAAUUUUGAAGAGAAUAAUAGCAUACAGUAACUCUAGUAUAGUUUGGAUCAAUCAUACGCCCCUCGGACCCAAUCCAAUUUGUGUGGCUCACCACCCACACAAAAGAAAAGGAUAUGAGACUAUAGUUGAGAGAUCAUGGACAGGAUGAACAAAAUUUGAAUGGCCAUGUGCUUUGUUCCACUACCAAAUGACAACCCACUGACAUAUUUAGGUUUGUUGUGAAAAUUAUUAAAAAUUGUUGAGAAAUUCAUAUACAAAUAGAAGAGAGAAUUGAGAAGAAGAAAAGAGUUGAAUUUCAUACUCAAUUCUAGUGUGUAAGAAUGAUACAAACGCUUUUUUAUAAGAGGUUUUUCAUCCAAUAGAAAAUUGUGGCAAAUUAUUUAUUUUACAGUCUACGAAUGAAUAGUGACUUUCCUGUUAAUGAACAGUAAAUCAUCCAAUUAUUCUUCCCAUGAGGUUUUUGUCUUUUUAUUUUUGAAUUUGGGACCUAUAUGGGCCAUCCAACCUUCACAACACGCCUCUUUUGAUGACCAUAUACCAAUGUGGAUUGCCUCAUUAAAAUCUUACUUGAAAAAACCCGGUGGAAAACAAUCAUAGCAAAAGAAAAAGAGAACAACUUUUUUUGGAUCAUUGAUAUUGAAUGCAUUUUUGUUGCCUCAUUAAAGUCUUGCUAGGAAAAAUCCUAGACGAAAGAAGAAGAGUACAACAAGCACGUGUCUUGGAUGCUCUCCCUGAUGAGUAUUUCCUCCUGAUUCAUGCAUUCUUCAAUUUGGCUAAUUACUAAGUCGACGUAAUCCGAUACCAUCAUCAACUUCUGAAAUGUAUAUUUCAGCAGAGAUUUGAUGAAUCGGUACACCACGUUAUCGUUGGAACGGAUUUGUCUUACUUCAAUAACUUUGUUCUUCUGAGCUCAUGUGUAAAGAAAAACUAUGGAGAUAUGAGUUCAAUCUUAUCGUCCUUUGAUGAAUCCUUGCUUCACUUGAGCAAUACAUGUAUUAUCUUCAUUAAUGAUAGUUGGAGCAUUUGUUUGUUUAAGAUAGACUACAUGAGUUUGGGUUGUGAUGGAUCACUAAUAUUAACCAAGAACAUUCACAACUAGCUUCAUGAAGAGCAAGUAUUCUGAAUGAUUAGAAGAUGUAGCAACUUGUGUUUGCUUCGGUUUGAGAACCAUGAGAUUGCUAUAUUUUCAUAAGUGAACACAUAUCUAGUUUCUGAAAGGGCUUUAUGCAAAUCAAAGAGAAAAUCAACAUCUGCAUAUCCAACAAGAUUUCAGCUAUCUGUGGGUUUCUCGAAAUAGAGUAGGCUCAUGUCUAUAGUCCCACAUAGCAUAUUUGAUUCUCUAUCAAUGUCGAAUUGUUGGAGCAUAGUUAUAUAUGCUACUAACAAAUUGACUAAAAGCUAUACAUUGUGUAAAGUAUAAUAAAACACAUAUUUCACUAAAAUAUGGUACUUCUGAACCAAGUAUCAAUUCAUCAUUUCCCUCACGAUGAUGAAUGAUCUUUCUUAGCAUCUAAAUAUUGGUUAACCCUUUGGGUGUUCAACUUAUAAUCUUCAAUCCACAUGGUUCUUUAAUACCAUAGUACUAUUGGUGGAUAAAUAUCGUGUUGGCAUAUUGUUCGAUCUACAACUAGAGACAAUAUGUCCUCAACACUUUAUAAUCUUUCUAGACUCUUUAGGAGUUCCAAUCUAAUAUCAUUAACUCUUGUAAAAGAUUUAAUAUGUUGCAACAAUAUCAUAAUGAUAGUAGGGGUGGGCAAACGGGUACAGGAACCGCGGUUCGGGGCAAGUAUGGGAUGGGUCCAAAAAUUAUAAAUACAAAAUGGGAUGGGUACAUGUAAAUAACGGGGCGGGCCGGUUCUAGAAAUUGGAAAAAAAGGGCCCUCGGCCCGAACCAUUGAUUUCCUACGUUGAUUUCCUACCGUUGAUUUCACCCUCUCUCUCUCUUAUUCUUGUCCGGGACUCCCAAGACUCCAUUCUAUUCUCAGACCCAAUUCACUCAACUCUCCCCUCUCUAGAUCUCUCCUCCUUGAAUCUCAUUUCCUCUCUCGCCGCCACCAUCGUCAUCAGACCUCUUUCUCUCAUCCUGAUUCGCUCUUGUCUUCCUCACUCCGUCCGCUACCAACAUCAUCAGGCCUCGAUCUCUGGCGACGCUUUGUUCGGAACUGAUUUCUGGUGACGUUUUGUGGUGCGCCGACGACAGGGUCAUCGAUGAGUUCAUGAUGGAACAGCCAAUCCCAUCGUACCUGUUCGCGUUCGCUGUCGACAAAGGGUUUGGGUGGUUCUUUCCGCUGGUGGCUCUGAAAAUGCUGAGGUACAUGAGCGCUACAUCAAUUAUCAUACACGACUGUGACGAGGUCUUCAACUAUUGGGAGCCUCUCCAUUUCCUUCUCUACAAAUCUGUUUUUCAAACUUGGGAAUACAAGUUCCCUUUUCAAUUCUCUUUCUUUUUCCUCUCUGAAAAAUUGAAACUUUGUUCUUUUUUUAGGUGUUUGUUUCUGGGUUUUGAUUGUUUGUUAUUUUCUGGGUUUUUUUUUUAUUUUGCUUGUUAUGAAAUUAUUUGUCUUUUUGGUUAUUUGAAGUUUAUUUUAUAUUAAAGAUGUUAAUAUAAUGCUAUGUUUGGUUAUAAUUUGUAGAGAACUAUUAAGCUCUGGAUUUAAUUUAUUGGGGAAGUUGGUUGUCGUUGAAAAGUUGAGUGCUUGUUAACGUACAAGAUUUUGUAGAGCAUUGCAGCUCAUGAACUAAUUGCAGCCUUCAGAUGAAACGAUGUGAUUUACUUCGUUACGGUAAUUUCCAAAAAAAAAAAACACACACACACACACACACAGAGGAUCCGUGUACCUGGCCCAUUUGAAAUAGGUUGGGUUAGGUCCAGUUCCAGUGAUCAGAUUUGCAAUACUUGGCCCAGCCCGUCUCGUUUCCUUUUUAAGCGAGUCUGGUUUGGUCCAUCCAAAUUUGGGUCGGGCCCAGCCCGUGCCCACCCCUAAAUUAUAGCACUCAUUAAGGCACUUUAUAUUAUCCAUGUUAUUGCUUUUGGAGAUAUGUUUCAAGUAUUUCAUAAGUUUUGUAUAAUAUAUAAUUCUCUAUUCAUACGAAAUGAACAUGUUUCACACUGGAAAAUCAUGUUUGUAGAAGUAUAUCACAAUUUCAGGUUUCAACUAAGAACCUUGUGUUAUAUCAUGUAAGUGUAUUUAAAUGGAUUACAAAUGCUUAUGUGUAACCUUUUGGGUUUGCUGAUGCACAAAACCUGAAGGGUUUUGGAACAACGUAAAUCCGACCGUGAAUCUGCAAGAAAGUAAAGAACACAAGAUGUAUCGUGGUUCACCCCCAAUGUUUGGGCUACGUCCACACUGAUGUUGAUAUUGUUUCACUCUGAAUGAUGAAUAUACAAGGAGCCUAGAGGCAGUGUGCUCUUUAGCCUAUUUUCUGUGUGCUCUCUUCCUAUGGCCUAAAACUUGGUUUCAAUCUUGGCCCUCCCUUAAUGAGGAGAGUGAAGAGUCCUUUUAUAGAAUAAGGGCUCCUCACUUAUUACAUAUUUUCCCCUUCAUUUAUGACAUAAUUACAUUUAAGUCCCCCGAGUAUUUAUACAAGGUCUAAAUACGGAGGCCCUAAGUAUGAUACAAAUAGUAGUCCCCCAAGUCUUCAGUCAAGAGAGUCUUUUGGCUGGAGACUUGAAAUUCAGUCUAUGUGUGGGCCGAAGUAACUAGAUGUCGUCUAGAACUGAUACUCGAUAUGAGGCGGUGCCCAAUGUGCAAUGAUGCUCAACUAGAAGUAGCACAUGUUGCGAGGCUGCUUGGCUGCUUGGCUUAUGUUGCAUUGUUUGGCUCGGCUUAUGGAGUUGAAGGUGAGGGAGUCCCUUUUAUAGAAUAAGGGCUCGCUCCUCAAUACAUAAGUGAUGGGUUAGGAGCAAGGUCUUAAAUGCCGAUAAUAUCGGCGAAAUAUCGCCAAUAUUAUCCGUUUUUCACGUUACCGAUAUUUUAAUAUGUAUCUAAUUAGUUUUCGUCAAAAUAUCACGAUAUUAUUGAUAAUAUGGAUAAUAUCAUGAUAUUAUCGAUAAUAUCGCGAUAUUAUCAAUAUUAUCGAUAAUAUCGCUCUCUCCGUCGUCGGAACGGCAGCCGAGCUCCGUCGUCGCAGCUGCCAAGAUCUGCGCCUCUCUCUGCCAAGAUCUGCGCCUCUCACAGGUGGUGAUGGUGCUCGUCGGAGUGUGCGCCACUGGGGUGGAGGUCACGGUGGGGUGGGUGUGGUGUGUCUCCCUUCCGCUCGCUCGCUCCAUGUCUGUUCUUUCUAUGGUGGUGAACGAAGGGCAGUGCAGCAGAUCAAACUAAUUUGAGCUUCACACUAACACGGAGAGAGAGAUCCGAAACUUACCUAACCGGAAAAUCAAAGAAGACUCGCCGGAAAGUUAUAGGCUCUGCCAUUCUCGUAGAGGCGGGAGAGAGAAGAUUGAUGAUGUGUUCCUCGAUCUGCUCGAGUCGAGCAGAUGGUGCUGCUGCGUGUGUGUGUGUGGUCACGGCAAGAGAGAGAGAGAGGUAAGAGGGUUUCGAGAGAGAGACAGUGCAGAGAAGAGAGAGAGAUAGUCGAAGUGAGUGAGAAGGAAAUGGGGUCUCGGGGUAGGGGAGAGACCCACGUAGUGGGUUCUUUGUAUUUUAAAAAGUUGUGGUCAUGUUUUAAUUAUGAAAACCCACGUAGUGGGUUCUUUAUAUUUUAAAAAGUUGUCCAAGUUUGAGAUCCACCCACACUACGUGGGUGUUUUAUAAUUUUAAAAGUUUGAGAUAUAUUUUAUAUAUAUAUAAAGGUUAUAUAAAUAUAAAUUAUGAAUUAUUUAGUUGAAAGGCAGGAGAAAACAAAAGCAAAAAAGGAAAAGGAAAAGAAAAUAAGAAAGAAAAAAAACACCAAGGGGAUUCAAAUCCCUCCCUUUGUCAACCAUACACCUAGACCUUAUCCAACUCGCUAUAGAUGUGUUUGUAAUUACAUAUUCAGCCUGUAAUAUUUAUAUGGUUGUUAAGAUAUCUGCAAGGCUUGCAAGCUAAUAUUUAUUAUCUAGGAAAAUUUUCUAUAUUUAAAAAAACACCAAGGGGAUUCGAACACCUCCCAUUUUACUCCUUCAACACCUUGACCACCAUAUCACUUAUGUUUUUGUGAAAAUAUGCUAAAAUACACUUACUCUACACAUAGAGAUGACGAAGAUAGUGAAAAUUUUGAACCUCAUAGGAACUCUAUGUGGUACUAAGUCACUCAUGUAUCUUACCAUGCAAAGUAUAAAGUGUAAAAUAUUGUACUAAUUCAUUAUAUAUAAAUGAUUAUGGUGUGUUUAAACUUCUUUCAUUAAUUACUACAUAUUUUCUACACUCACAAUGUUUGCCAGCUCGCUAUAUAAUCAACUUAAAUCAGUUAAAUCCAUCAUGCAAUGCAUUUCCUUCCAAUUUUUUGUGAUAAACUAAUAGAUAAUUGACUAAAUAAACAUCCUGCAAAGUUUCAAUAAAAAUUUCCAAGUUUUUCUUACAAUUUCCGUGGUUUCCAUACUAUUUUUAUCGAUAUCGAUAAUAUCCCGAUAUUUUCAUCGAUAUUUCCGUGUUUUUGGACUACCGAUAUUUCCGAUAUCAUCGAUAUUUAAUACCUUGGUUAGGAGUGAUGCUUGCGGCGAGGCGGUUGCUCAGCUGGCGGCGAUACUCUCUAAUGGAGGUGAGGAGGUCCCUUUUAUAAAAUAAGGGUUCACUCCUCAAUACAUAAGUGAGGGGUUAAGAGUCUCUCUCUAAUGAAGGUGAGGGAGUCUCUUUUAUAAAAUAAGGGUUCGCUCCUCAAUACAUGAAUAAUGAGUGCUCUCUAAUGAAAGUGAGGGAGUCCCUUUUAUAGAAUAAAGGUUCGCUUCUCAGUACAUAAAUAAUGGGCUAAGUCCCCCAAGUAUUUUUCAUGAGGCCCAGUUGUGGAAGCCCAAUAUAUGGUACAUAGUGCAGUACCCCAAGUCUUCAGUCAAUAGAGGCUGUUGGCUGGAGAUUUCAAAUUCAAUCCAUGUACGGGCCGAAGCGGCAGUUGUUCGGAGACGGUCUUUGUAUACCAUGCACUGAAGCUUUGUAGGUGAAGCUUUUAAAGUGAAGCUUUGAAGCUGGAGCUCUGUAACUGAAGCUUUCGAAGUUGAUUGACAUGAGUGAUGCUCAUGGAUGUUGACAUGAGUGAUGCUCAUGGAUGUUGACAUGAGUGAUGCUUAUGAAUGUUCACAUGACUGAUGGUCAUGAAUGUUUAUGUAUGAUUGACAUGACUGAUGGUCAUGAAUGUUUAUGUAUGAUUGACAUGAGUGAUGCUCAUGAAUGUUUAUGUAUGAUUGACAUGAGUGAUGCUCAUGAAUGUUUAGGUAUGACUGAGUGAUGCUCAUGUAUAAUUUUGGAGUACUGGACGUACUUUUGAUCACCUAAUGGGUGAUAAUAGCGGUAGGUUGCCGAAUAAUUUUGGAGUACUGGACGUACUUUUGAUCACUAGACGUACUUUUGAUCACCUGGUUGGUGAUAAUAGCGGCAGGGUGCUGAAUAAUUUUGGAGUACUAGACGGACUUUUGAUCACCUAGUGGUGAUAAUAGCGGCAGCCUGCCAAAUAAAUUUGGAGUACUAGACGUACUUUUGAUCACCUAGUUGGUGAUAAUAGCGGCAAGGUGCCGAAUAAUUUUGGAGUACUAGACGUACUUUUGAUCACCUAGUGGGUGAUAAUAGCGGCAGGUUGCUGAAUAAUUUUGGAAUGCCGGACGUACUUUUGAUCACCUGGUUGGUAAUGAUUGCGGCAGGCUGCCGAAUAAUUUUUUCUAGUACUGGACGUACUUUUGAUCACAUGGCUGGUGAUAAUAGAGGGCCUGGCUCUUUUUGGGCAUAUGGGUCUUCGCCCUCCACAUAACAUUCCAGCCCAUUAUUUUGGGCUUGCCGUUUUUUUUUAUUACCCUCUGAUGGGGUUAUACAGAUGUCUCCGAAAGAUAAGAAAAAUAAAUCACAUCAUUCAAAAAUAAAUAUGACCCUCUGCUCAAUGGGUCACGCCCAUAAUUCCCUUUUCUACAUGCCAUCACCACCGUAAUUAUGUCUGCUUCUUUUUAUCUUCUUUUGCUUUCUGCUUUUGCUUUAUGCUUUUGCUUUCUGUUUUUCUUUCUGCUUUCUGCUUGGGACAUGUUGCUUGAUGACAUGAUUAAGGGCAAUAUUCCUUUCUCUAAAGUGACAGCUGCUUGGACAGCCUUUUCGACACCACCCACUUGCUUUUCUUGAUCUCUUCGCUUCUUCUCUGUUUUUCUGCUGAGAAUCACUGGGUUGAGAUUCCAAGUUCGAGGGAUCCGAGUCGGGAGCCGACUGUGAUCUUCAAUAACUUCAUUGGCAUGCACGAGAGCGAACAAGAAUUCUCCAUGGCUGUGCCUAUCCAAGCUUCUGCACCACAGCAAAUGGUCCUCUAACAACCUUAACAAUCAUAACAAAAUACCUGAUGGGUCCUCUCGCCUACCUGUGUCGUUUAGAGCCAUGAACACAGCUUGCGGGGGCUUGGCGUGGAGGAAGAUAGGCGUAUAUUUGGUGACGUUCAAAGCGACGCUGAGUUAGCACUGCUCUGUGAAACUUAAACCGCUGCAUGCUGCUUUGAUCUUGGUCUUUGCCGGUGCGCAGAUUUUCAACCAGCUCUCUAUGAAGUCACUAGCAGUGGACCCAUCAUUGGGCAAAUAUGUAGUUAGAAUUUCGAGGGCCCACCAGUCAACGGUGAACUCAUGGCCCUCCCCGCGUACCACCUCGGGGGACACGUACUCUUCCAUUCCGACAAACGAGUUCGCGCGUUUGUCGUCCGAGAAACUCAGCUUCCGUCGACUCAUCGGGCUGACUUGGCCUUCUUCAACCCCUUCCUGCUACCGCCGUUCUUGUGAUUGUCGUUUAUAAUCGUGAUCCAACAUGUCAAGUUCCGCUGGUGUUUGCGAUGAAUCUUUGGGAUGUCGUUUUCCAGAAUGGAGUCGUUGGGCUUAGCGGUCAUGUGCUUAAGGCUAAUCGAGAGGUCGAAGUCUGUGAAUGUCACGUGGCCGGAUUACUGGAUGAGGACUGUAGUUCACAUCAAUGGCAUUUCUCCGCUCAGAAUCUCCAACAUGAGUGUUGGAUCUUGAUGUGCUUUUAGCGGUGGCGGUGGUUUUGGAUGAUGAGGUUUGGGAAUUGACGACAGAGAUGGCUGAGUUAGCUCGGUAAGAAAGGUACCCCAUAAGAGGAAAAUCGAGAUUUCAACUUUGUGUGUUCUCAGAACGCGGUUCAGAACCGUUAUGGGAUGGACCAAAAAGUCUUUUUCUUUUGAAAUACAGAGAGAGAGAUCUGGUUUUGAUGCAUGCUGAGAGAUCUUGAUCUUCAGAAAAGGAAAAAGAAUGAAGACUUUAAAAAAGAAAAAAGAGAAUCUUUGGGGCUCUUUUAUGAGCAGAGACCGAGAGAGAGAAAGAGAGAGGAGAUGACAUGGUGGCUUUGUGUUUGUGGGGGUUUUCUGGAAAAGCCCAAGGAGGUUUCGAGUUUCUGUAGAUUCAAGGUGGAGUGUGGUGAGGUCUCACGGUGGUGAGAUGAAAAAAUGAAAGAGAACCGAUAUAGCUUUUUGUGUCGAUUCCCACAGACGGCGCCAAAUGUUGAUGCACAAAACCGGAGGGUUCUUGGAACAACGUAAAUCCGACCGUGAAUCUGUAAAAAAGUAAAGAACACAAGAUGCAUCGUGGUUCACCCCAAUGUUUGGGUUACGUCCACACUGAUGUUGAUAUUGUUUCACUUUGAAUGAUGAAUAUACAAGGAGACUAAAGGCAGUGUGCUCUCUUCCCAUGGCCCAAGACUUGGCCUCAAUCUUGGCCCUCCCUUAAUGAGGAGAAUGAUGGGUCCUUUUAUAGAAUAAGGGCUUCUUACUUAUUACAUAUUUGCCCCUUCAUUUAUUACAUAAUUACAUUUGAGUCCCCGAGUAUUUAUACGAGGUCUAAAUACGGAGGCCUUAAGUAUGGUACAAACAGGGUUCAACAUCCUUUGGCUAUUUGUACUAUAUAUGGGUCCAUGUUUUCACAUUCUUACUUAAUUGUAAUGGAAUUGGCUCUCCAUUUUGCCAAUAAUGUUUCUUUUCGUUGACAAACAAAAGAACGCGACUCAAUAUAUAGUAGCUACUGUAAAACCAAAUUUUUCAUUGAUUAUCAUCAAUUUGUGAUCUAAUAAUUCUCAUGUGCAUGCACAUGCAUAGUUUCAAAGUUUUUCAUUUCUUUGGAUAUCUAUUGCCUCUUCAGAGGCAUUACACUAUUUCUUCUAUAGUUUAGAGAAUGCGGAUCAUAACCCCUUUUUAACUGUUAUAGAGCUUGAAUUUUUAAUCUCCACUUCUGGAGUUUGAGUUACUAGAACCUAUACAUCUAUCAUGCUUCAAGCAUGAAACAUACUAAAAAUUAUAUAGAAAUAGACGAAAGCAAGGAUGGAGCUAAUGUAGGCCUAGGGGCGGAUGCCCCCACUCAUUUAAAAAAAUGUAUAAUUGCGUUCCAAUUCUCAAUAAUCAGCCCUAAAUAAACUACAAUUAAAAAAAUUGGUAGGCAACUAAACUAGUCUACCACUUUGGAUCCCAAAUGCCCUACCUGAUGACAAUUUAAUUAACAAUUAAUUUAAUUGUGCCUCCCCGUUUUUGUAACCCUAGGUAUUUAAUCCACACAAAACUCAUCCCACCACGUACGGCAAAGCAAUUCCAGUCCUUAACUUCUCCAGAUUUUUCCUCCCCUUUCAUUCAACCAAAACUCAAUUGAAUUUGGAGUGUUAUAGACAGUUGGAGUUCAAGUAAUCAAUUAUCAAAAUUCAACACAAGAAUUUUACUCCACAAGGUAUUUUAUACGACUUUACUUCAUUAAUUUGUUUUUGGCAUUUCAAUUUAGAAUUUAGCUUUCUAAUUUAGAGAUCAAUAGAUGAAUGAUAACAUGAUUAUGUUUAUAUAAAGAGAUAUUUAAUGGUAUUGGUAAUGAUAUUGUUAUGCAACACUUUCAAAACAUGAAAACAAUUCAAGGAAUAAUGUAAUAUGUGUUGCGAGUUAUAUAUUAGUUAAAAUAUAAAUAGUAGUUUAUUGUCCCACAUUGGUGAAGUACAUAUGUAAUACCAAUUGUAACUCCUAUACUCCACUUUGGAGAUUAAUGAAUAUAUAAGAAAUUCCCAAAUAUUGUCAUAUAUAUUUUUGGUAUUUACCAUAUUUAGUUUAAUAUGGCAUCAGAGCAGUUCGCUCUUGGUGACCUGUGUGCUUUAAUUUUGUGCCCACAUUUUUUGUGAUUUCCUUCGUGAAAAAAAAAAAAAAAAGUGAAUAAUGGCGCGCUACAAUACAGAGCGUGAACAGUGGUCUGCUUUGUGAACAGUGGUCCUUUACAAUGCCGUAAACAGUGAUUGCUACAGUGCCGUGAAUAGUGCUCUGCUACAGUAUCUGGUAAAUUAUUUUCAUUCCGCUGCGUAUCUUUUGUGCCUUUAUUGUUCAUGAUUUUUGUUCAAUGGCUCAAUAUAAUCAUAGUGUUAUUAUGCAUCUUGGUGGAACAAAUAAAUGGAUAAUAGAUACUAAGACCACUGAUCAUGUGACUAGUGACCCUAGAGUGUUUGAUGAGUUAUGUGACUAUGUUCGUGAUCCGUAUAUUACUAGUGCAAAUGGAGCAAAUUCCCCUGUGAAGGGUGAAGGCACUAUCUCUCUUACUCUAACCUUAUCACUGGUCUGUGUUUUAUUUGUUCCUGAUGUUAAGUGCAAUCUUUUGUCGGUAGGAAAACUUCUUGAUACCUUAUAUUGUUCUGCUCACUUUUACCCUACGUAUUUUUAUUUUCAAGAUAUUCAAACUCAGAAGAUAAUUGGUCAUGGUAAAAGAAUAGGGGGUUUGUACAUCUUAACUAUAGAGGAUACUGUUGUUUCUGGUUCAAAUAAUCAUCAAGUUUUAAGUGCUAAAGUGGAUGACAGACAUCAAAUUUGGUUGUGGCAUCGAUAAUUAGGACAUCCAUCAUUAAGUUAUAUGAAACAUCUAUUUCUUUCUUUGUUUCACACUUGUAGUGAUUCAGAAUUCAAGUGUGAAACAUGUGUCAUGGCUAAGAGUCAUCGUGCUUCAUUUCCUGUAAGUGAUUCUAAAGCUACUUUGCCAUUUGAUUUGAUACAUUCUGAUGUGUGGGGUCCGGCGAAAGUUACUUCUAAUGGAUUCCGUUGGUUUGUUACUUUUAUUGAUGAUUGUACUCGGUUAACUUGGGUGUUCUUGAUGAAGAAUAAGAGUGAUGUUCCGUUACUUCUUCAAGAAUUUUGUACAAUGGUGUCUACUCAGUGUCAGACCAAAGUUAAGGUCUUCAGGUCUGAUAACGGAGGAGAAUAUGUGAAUCACACUUGGCAUGUUUUUUUCGUGAUCAUGGUAUUAUUCACCAAACGACUACUCCGUUUACACCCCAACAAAAUGGUGUGUCCGAACGGAAGAAUCGUCAAAUAAUAGAGGUUGCUCGCUUCUUGAUGUUGGAUAAAUGUGUUCCUAAUCAUUUGUGGGGUCAUGCUGUUUUGGCUGCUGUGUAUUUGAUCAAUCAUGUUCCAAGUAGGGUUCUUGAGUUUCAGACACCGUUCGAUAUGCUACAAAAACAUGUUUCUCUUGUUUCUGUAUCAAAGCUUCCUCCGAAAGUGUUUAAGUGUAUUGCGUAUGUGCAUGUCUACUCUCAUCAGCGGAGUAAACUUGAUGCAUGUGUUCUCCGGUGUGUCUUUAUUGGAUAUGCUAACAAUCAAAAAGGCUAUAAGUGUUAUCAUCCUCCGACUCAAAAAACUUAUAUUACCAUGGAUGUCACCUUCCAUAAGGAAGUUUCAUAUUUUGUGAAGCCUUUUUCCACCUAUCCAUUUCAGUGGGAGAGGGGGAGUGAAGUGCAGAUUCGAAGAGAUGGUAUGGAUGAUGUGUUACAUGCAGAGUUGGGAACAUAACCUAUUAUGUUGCGUGAUACUGAUCAGUCGGCUACAGAUAGUGAUCGGUCACCUGUUAUUCCUGGAACUAUUUCUACUAACGACAAAUCAGAUGUGCCCAGCGAGUUGCCUAUUAGUAUGUCUGACGAAUUACCUUCUGAUGAUCGGUUGCAUGCUGCUGAUAUGUCUGACGAAUUACCUUCUGAUGAUCGGUUGCCUGCUGCUGAUAUGUCUAACGAGUUGCCUAAUGAUGGUUCAUUCAGUGAUGAUUCUUCUAACAGUUUGGUACAAGAUGGUGGCAUACAUGAGGUAAAUUCUGACGAUUCUUCUACUUAUCAGUUGCCUCCACGAGCUAAUCGUGAAAAACCUAAAGUACAAUAUGAGCCUGAUAUGCAUGCCAAAGCCAAAUAUCCUAUCAAUAAUUAUAUGGCUACUCAUCGUUUGUCCAAACCAUAUGCAUCUUACAUAUGUCAGCUAUCUAGUGUAUCAAUUCCAACAAAAUUGCAAGAUACUUUGUCUGACCCUAAGUGGGUUAAUGCCAUGGAAGUUGAGAUGGAAGCUUUGGAAAAGAAUUCUACUUGGGAUUUGGUUGCUUUACCAAACGGGAAAAAAGCCAUUGGAUGUAGAUGGGUGUUUAUUACUAAGCACAAAGCAGAUAGUUCUAUUGACCGGUAUAAAGCCAGAUUAGUUGGGGUUAUACUCAAACCUAUGGGGUGGACUAUCAGGAGACUUUUGCUCCUGUUGCCAAACUUAAUAAUGUGCGUGUUCUUCUGUCCUUAGCAGUAAACCAGGAUUGGCUUCUGUUGCAGUUUGAUGUUAAGAAUGCUUUCCUUUAUGGUGAUCUUAAAGAUGAAGUGUAUAUGGAUUUUCCACCUGGUAUUGGAACAUCUCUUGGAAAAUGUGUUGUAUGCAGGUUACGAAAGGCCUUGUAUGGUUUGAAACAAUCUCCUAUAGCAUGGUUUGGGAGGUUUACAAGUUCAAUGAAGAAGUUUGGAUAUAUCCAGAGUCAUUCAGAUCCUACUUUGUUUCUAAAGCGACAAAAUGGUAAGCUAACUGCAUUGAUUAUUUAUGUUGAUGACAUGAUAGUGACUGGUGAUAAUCAGAAGGAGAUACAACGCCUUCAAAAGUACCUAGCUAUUGAGUUUGAGAUGAAAAAAUUGGGUGAACUGAAGUAUUUUCUUGGAAUCGAGGUUACACGAUCCAAGCAUGGUAUUUUUCUGUCUCAACGGAAAUAUGUUCUUGAUUUAUUAGCUGAAACAAGUAUGUUAGAUUGCAAACCUGUUGAUACUCCGAUUGAGCAGAAUCAUCGUCUGGGCUUAUUUCUAGAUCAAGUUCCUACUCAUAAGGAACGGUAUAAGAGGCUUGUAGGGAGAUUAAUUUAUUUGUCUCACACUCGCCCUGACAUUGCUUAUGUAGUUAGUGUGGUAACUUAGUUUAUGCACUCACCUAGUGAAGCUUAUAUGGAUGCAGUAACCCGUAUUUUGAGAUACUUGAAAAUGGCUCUUGUCAGAGGCCUGGUUUUUUUCAAGAAUGGUCAUUUGAAUGUCGAAGGGUAUACAGAUGCAGAUUGGGCAGGUUCUAUCACUGAUCGGCGAUCUACAUCUGGAUACUUUACGUUUGUGGGUGGCAAUUUAGUUACUUGGAGAAGCAAGAAACAAAAAGUGGUGGCUAGGUCAAGUGCAGAAGCUGAGUUUCGUGGUAUGUCUCAUGGUGUAUGUGAGUUGUUGUGGUUGAAAAAAAUUGUUGAGAGAUCUUGGGUUUAAUAGUGUGUUUUCCAACUCGCUUGACAAGUUGGGCAUGCGUGACAUCUUUGCACCAACUUGAGGGGGAGUGUUGCAAGUUAUAUAUUAGUUAAAGUGUAAAUAGUAGUUUAUUAUCCCACAUUGGUGAAGUACAUAUGUAAUACCAAUUGUAACUCCUAUAUAUACUCCACUUUGAAGAUUAAUGAAUAUAUAAGAAAUUCCCAAAUAUUGUCAUAUAUAUUUUUGGUAUUUACCAUGUUUAGUUUAAUAUUGGUAUUUACCAUGUUUAGCUUAAUAAUAUGUUGUAUGAAAAACUUUAUAAAUUAAUGUAUUAGUGUUUUGUUCAAUAAAUUCUUGAGAUUUUUAAUUGUGACUUUAUUGUUUGAGGAUGCUCCCGCUCAUAUAAAUCUCUAACUUCAUCCUUGAAAGAGAGAAUUGAGAAGUAGAAAAGAGUUGAAUUUCAAAAUCAAUUGUGGUGUAUAAGAAUGGUACAAACGCUUCUUUAUAAGAAGUUUGCCAGAAACUGUAGCAAACUAUUUAUUUUACAGUCUUCAAAAUGAAUAUUGACUUUCCUAUGGAUGAACAGUGAGUAAUCCAAUUUUUAUUCCGAUGAAGAAUGAGAUUUUUGUCUUCUUUAAAUUUAGGACAUGUACGGGGCCAUCCAACCUUUACACCAAGUCACCUUUUUACGUCACUCUCAAAUAUUGUAGCGUUACUUUUUUAUUGCAAACUAUCAUCUGAUACAUUUACCUAAAAAAAACAGUUUUUAAGUAUGUCAUAUUUUAUAAAUAACCAUUAGCAGUUUAGGAAGAGUGACUCUUCAAAGAAUAACAUAUAACUUAUUUAUAAGACACGUUUUGAAGUAAGGGAGGUGUGGAAUCAGAAUGAUUCGAAAUUUAUCACAUUAAUAGGCAUGAUAAUAUACAAGAAAGAUAGUGAUCUCAGUGAUCUCAGUGCUUGUUGUCCAGGAUUAGGUUACAAGGAAAGUUCAGCAACACCUUUUUAAUUUAUAGCAAAAUCUGAAACCCGGAAUCACAUUAAUUUAAUACAUAAGAAGAAAAAUGAAACUAAUCAAGCUGAGCAUACCAAACUCCCUGGAUUUUGACAUCCUUUGGAGUCUUGGCUCCCAAGUCAGUGUCAGACGGCUGAAUGCUCUCAAACACCCCAAUCAACUCACCAUUCUCAGGCUUGCUCUUUGUCACACUCAGUGUGAUCUUCCCUGUUGAUGCUGCUGUAUUCUUGGUGUUCUCCUUUGCCAACUCCUCCUCGUCUCCUCUGCCACCUGCCGGCAACGCAACCGCAUUGUCGUAACCGGUAGAUCCUCCUCUUCCCUUGGGGUCCAAGAAAGAGGAUCCGCGGUAUGAUGGUACUAGAAACUCUCCUGUGAAGUUGUCAGGCUUGCCAGAGGCUACGAGCUGCUUGAUGGUAAAGAGGAAGGGCACGCGCUCACCUCCCGGGAGCUGGACUGUCACUGCAGCGUAGUCAAUUCCGUCUUUCUCUUCAAACUUGACGGUGCCAUCUGGGGCAACUUCGAAAGGUCCUUCGAUCUCAUCGAGAGUGUAGGUUAGGCGGGUCAUGAGCUUGGUGUUUUGGAACUCUGGUGGAGCAUUCUUGCUCACACUCUCUGCCUUGACUGUGAAGGAUGUUGGCUCUAGGCAGAACUUCUUGGCAGUGUACUUGCCAGGCUUGAAAGCGAAUGCUUCGGUUCCUCCAUCGAUGGUUGGGCACUGGUUGGCAGUUCCGGUUCCCUUCACUUCCAAGUAGGUCUUGCUCUGGAUUUCGUCGAAGGUCAGCCUCUUUGGAGAUCCCUCUGCACCUGCUCCCUGAAAACACAAAUGGUGGCCAACAAUGACCAAAUUUCAAUCGCAAUUCAUCCCCAAAAAUGAAAUCCAACUAUCACUGGCAUAUGUUGUUGUCAGACUGUCAAUCCAAAAUGAACUAAUGAGAUUUAUAUCCAUACUAUAUGAAAUCAAAUGAUGCUACAUUAUAUUGUUAGAUUCUCAAUCCCAAUUAUCAGAUGAGCGUACGUCCAUAUGAUAUGCUAUUAUGAUUGUUAUCCUAACAACAUAACAUAUCAAAUAUCCGAAAUAGAGAACAUUACUCUCGUCUGUUGGGACGAUCCAGUUCUACAAAUUAAUGGAGAACAUGUGGAUAUUGCUAUAUAAUUGCACAUACAACUAGUCCAACUAAUGUUUACCCCCUAACUAUAGUCCAUAAGUAACUAGCAAGUACUACUUAACAUACAUUCACAAAAGGUCAAAUGCAAACAACUAAUCAUUGUUCAUCUUCUGCACCGAAAUUUCAAUCACAUGAAGCAAAAAACUGAGGAAUGAAAUGGAAUUAGC